UCUUGUUUUUUUUUUUUUUUUUUGUGUGUGUGUUUUAGUUUAAUGGGGUUUGACGGCGCCGCGCGAGAACGCGGCGGAGGAAUGGGAGGAGGGGGGGUUUGGGGAAAACCGGAAAUGAGAAAAGAGGAAAAUUGUUAUAAAAGAGAGGAGGAGGAAGAAGAAGAAGAAGAAGACAGAGUCAGGUUUAUAUUUUGGCCUCUGGUUUUACCGCCAUUUUCGCUCCUUCCGGGGAAACCGACUUUGCUUGGUUCUUCUCUUCACCUAUAUAAACUCCAUAUAGACCUAAUAUUUUUUUAUUUCAAAACUUCUUUUUCUUUUUUUCUUUACUUUUAAUAAUGUAUACAUUACAUUACAUCCUCACCUUUUUAGAUCGAUGUUUGGAAUUUUCGAUUUCUAAAUAGUAGUUUGAACAUAGUUUAAUAAAUAAUAAUAGUGUUGGUGGAGAAAUUUUGACUAAUUAGAAAUUGUUGUGUUGUUAGUGUAUGUUAAUGAUUUAUAAAUUUGAGAUCAAUUGCAAAUUUCCUCUAGUUCUCAAAUUAAAUUAAAAAGUAGUGGAAUAUAUCGGCAAAUCAAAUGAUACUCUGCAGGUUUAAGCAUUCACCAAUGGAGUAAUGUCAGCCGUUGGUUUAGUUAAUUAUGUUACAUAUCGAAGAUAACUUAUUAGUUCGAGCUUACUAAUAUAGAUUUGGUUAAAUUUCAUUCAAGUCUAAUUUGAAAAGAUUGGAAACCAUGCUUAAGUCCUCUCUUGAAAUUAUAUGGGUGUGUUUGGGAAUUUUAGUUGAGUUACGUAAGUUUGUGUUUAGGGGUAAAGAGUUGGAGUAUGAAAUGAUUCGAUAAGGAUGCAAAUUUUAAUAAUGAACAGUAUUGAAGUUGGUAGCUAGAAUUGCAUUAUGUAACACCUACUUUAGGAAGUCGAUGCUUGUGUAUUUGGCUCACCAACAUAUAUGUGUUGAGAUGAAUUUGUAUAAUUUAUCAAUUCAUUGUUUGACCCACCAACUUUAAAUUAAUACUGACGAAGUACUUGAAUUGUUAUAUUUUAUCAACGCACCUCAAUUCUCUAUUCUUCCAAGGUUUUUAAUGCUCCAUUCGUUUACUUUGAAGACCACUUUUUUACUCAUCUAACUUCGAGCCCUUGACAACUUUGUGUAACCUUUGUUUCAUGAUUACACAAUAAAACCAUAACAUUGUAUAAAACAAUAAAUGCCAAGAUUUCUUAACUACAUGAUUUUCACAAACUAAAUUUAGUUACAGAAUCACAUACCUUAUCCAUGAAUGGUCUUCUAAGGGAUUGACCUUCCUUUAGAACUUAAUUAUUUUUCAUGAUGGAGAAGAGUAAACUACGUACUUGCGGUGAGAAAAUCAAUCCCUAAGGUUCUAUUUAUAGGCAUCACCCAUCAUGCAGUUUAAUUAGGGCAUUAUCUUUUUACCUAAUGAGCCUAAUAAAAUAGUAGGCCCCAAAAAGAUAAAAUAACAUAUAGCAUAUGAGCCCCAUUAAUAAUAAUAUUAUAUUUAAAAUAAAUCUAACAUUCUCUCACUUGCCCUAAUGACAUUAUAUACCAUAUACGUUCAUAGACAUAAUGCGCAAAAUUAAACUUCAUAGCAUAUCAUAUCAAGUCAAAGAAACUACUAAAGAAUCAUGACAGUCAUACAUCAUUGCAUUAACAUACUCCCUUCCAUGUAUUACUGAAAUAGUUCUUCAAUUAACAUGAUCUAUAAUAAAGAUAAUCAAUAAUUGUUCAACAAUAAGUGUCUUUAUCAAAGACAAUGUUCUGUUUAACAUAAUUCAUUUGUGUAUAUACUAAUCAUAAAAACAGAACCAUGAGAUAAAAUUAGAAACAAUAAAAAAAUGAGCUCAAAGUGUCAAAUAAUAUAAUCUUAAUUUUAGUAAUGAUAUCUACUAAUGUCCACACAUUUAACAUGAUCAUUGAAUGUCUUUGGGUGGCAAUCCUUUAGUGAGUAGAUUUGCAAUUAUAAGUUUAGUGCUAAUGUGUUUGAUUGUCACUCUUUGUUUCUGAACAACAAAGUAUUUUAAUUUCAUAAGUUUAGCACCUUUAGAAUACCUGUUGUUUUUUUAGAAGAAAACUAUUUCAUAAUUAUCACAAUAAAUUCUCAACGGCUUGACAAUACUAUCGACAAUCCAAAGUCUUGAGAUAAAGUUUUACAACUAUAAAACAUGAAUUAUAGCCUCAAAGCAUGCUACAAAAUUCAACCUAUAUAGUGGAUGCAACAAAAAUACACGGCUUCACACAUUUUAAUGAAAUUGCUCCUUCAGCUAAAUAGGAAUAAAAUAGCCAAAAGUGAAUUUUUGUGUAUCCACACACUCAGUAAAAUAUGAAUCGGAAUAUCCAAUCACCUUAAAAUGAUCGGAUCUCUUAUAAGUAAGCAUAUAGAACAAUGAUUAUAAUUAAACUUACUCCCGCUUAUCCUUAGGUAUUAUACAUCGAUCAAUGAUGUUUUCUUUAAAACCAAAAGAUGUGAUGGUAUCAUUGCACUUAAGAUACCAUUGUUUGGAAGCUUCUUUAGGUUCAUAUAUUGACCUCUUUAAUUUACACACCUUAUGUUCCUUUCCUUCAACCAUAAAACUUUCUUGAUGAUCCAUGAACACUUUGUCAUCUAAAUUAUUCCCAUUUAGAAAGACAAUUUUCGCAUCCAUUUGAUGAAGCUCUAAAUCAUAAUGAGCUACUAUAGUGAUAAUAAUAUUCUUAAUUAGUCCUUUCUUCGAGAUAGGAGAAAAUGUCUCUUUGUAGUCAAUGCCAUAUUUCUGAGUAUAACCUUUGGCAACAAGUCUAGCUUUGUGUUAUUCGAUAUUGCCAUUUGAGUCAAGUUUGGUUUUAAAGACCCGUUUACACCCAACUCUUUUACUUUUCCUUUAAGCAAUUUACAAGGUCCUAGACUUCUUUAUCAUUCAUUGAUUUUACUUUUUUCAUGGCAUCUAACAACUAAAUUGGCAUAAUUAUCUUCUUUAAUCGCCUAUGAAAACAAAAAUGGAUCAUUAUUAAUACUUAGGUCAAAUUCUGACUCAUGCAAAUAAACCAUAUAGUCAUCAGAAAUAGUUGAUAUUUUUUGUCUUACAUAUAUUCUUAACUCUAUUUCUUGUGGUCUCUUAGUUAUAGGUUUAUUUGUUAUAACAUCAUUAUGUGGUGUUUGACCAUUAAUUUAUUCUUCUUGACUCUGCUUGUAGAUUGUUAACAGAGUCAACAACUACAAGAACAACUUUAGAAGAAGUUAUAGAUGAAGGAAUUUCCACCCUAGCUUCUUAAAUUUUCACUUAACGUGGUUUCAAACUCUCACUAAUUACAUCAUUCCCAAUGAACCUUACAUGUCCAAUUUCAACUAUUCACAUACUAUGGUUAAGACAAUAAAAUCUCUACCCUUUUGAUUUUUCUUGAUAACCAAUGAAGACACCAUUGGUUGUUCUUGAGUCCAGUUUUCUUUCGUGUGGAUAAUAAAUUCUUACUUCCGCUUGACAACCCCAAACAUGCAGGUGUCUUAAACUAGGUCCUUACUAUCCAUAAUUUAAACGAUGUCUUUGGAAGUGACUUACUUGGAACCCUAAUUUUAAUAAAUAUUAAGCAUUUCUUAAUGCAUACAUCCACAAGGACACAAAUAAAGACAAAUUAUUUAACAUGCUUUUAACCAUAUUUAUUAAUGUAUGAUUACGCUUUUCUACAACACCAUUUUAUUGUGGUCUUCUUGGUAUUGUGUAUUGAGCACCUAUACCAUGACUUUAUAGGAAUUUAGCAAAUGGGUCAAAACAAUGUGUUUUCUCUUCAUACUUUCCAUAAAUUUUAUAAAAUUCUUGGCACUUUCAAUAUUGUAAUUAAUUGUGGACUUGAUAUUAUUUGCUACAUUCAUUAGCAUAAACUUUAGACUGAAUCUAUUUGAUCUUUCCAAGCUUUAUAGAAAGAUUUAUUCUCAUCACUGCUAGCAGAAGUAAGAGUUACAGGUUUCUCGCUUAAGAGUGUCAAAUCAAGAUUCAAAACUUCAAGAUGGAAUCAGAUUUGUUUAGACCAAAAAGAGAAAUUAAGUCUAUUAAACUUGAUUAACGAAAUAAAUAUACUUAUACAUUAUUGUUUUGAGAAAUAAACAUAAAAAUAUAACAUAGGUUCAAAUAAUAUUAAGCAACCAUUAAUAUAUACAUUGAAGUUCUUCUUGGAAAGAACAAUGUGCAAUAUUUAUACUUAACUAAUGUUAUAUUUAACUUUACAUAAUUGAUAAUUUAAAUGUUUAAAUUAGAUACAUUAGAAAUUUAACGUUCCUUCAUCUCCGAUCGUCUUGACAGUCAUCCAUUAGAAAUUAGAAAAAAAAAAAAAAAACAAUACAACCUGAUAACCCAACCCAACCCAUAUUUUACUGGUUGGAAUGUCUCCCAACCCAAUCCAACCCGAUUAUACCCCUACCUAUAAAGAUGUGAAAACCUUUCUCAACUAAAACAACUUUAGGCUCCCUCUAAAGAAGUGUAGUCUAUUAUAGAAUCAAGGUAGUCUCCAACAAACUACUUACAAUCAUUAUAUUCUAUUCUCUCAAAAUUUUGUUGAACGAACAAUCAAAAUUAUAUUAUCAUGUAUUUUUUUUUACUAUAAUGUUAGAUAAUAUAGUAAAACAUUUUCAAAUAGGUGUUAUUGUAGGAUGUGUGCUAAUACUUUCCCUACACUCAAUGAUCCCCAUACCUCUUUCUGGUCAAAUAAGAUUAGUUUUAAUUUAAAACAGGUGGCCAAUCACACUCUAAAUUGAUUGGUGGCGACUCCAAACCUUUUCCUUUGAAAUAGGCCCUAUAGUUAGGGGUGGGACAUGGACGACCAUUUAGAAUCGUGACAAAUAUGUUAUUGUCUCUUUUGAAAGGAAGCCUUUAUAACUCUAACUUUCUAAAGCCUCAAAUUAGUUAACCCAUUGAGAUAUUUAACAUUCAACAGGGAUAAAAUAAAUAAAUUGAACAAAAGAUCUAUAUCUUACUCUACCUACUUAUAGUUGAUCACUUAUUACUAGUCAUAUCAACUUCUAUAUAGUAGAGGAGAUCUAUUACUAACUAAUCUGGAGAUGUCUAACUAAACUUAAUCUUGACUCAAUAGUAAUAACAUGUGUGUAUUACAUGUAUAUCUUCCUUGGUGAAAUUUAUAUCAGCCCAAAAUAAACAGGUUCAAACAGCAAUUUCUAUAACUUGGGAGUAAAACUUUCUUUUAAUGAAUUUGAAUCGAAAGAUAGUCAAAUAGGGUGAACUUGUAUCGAUUGGCUUAAGUUUCCCAACCAAAUCGACUAUGGACUAUGGUUAUUGUAGUAUAUGGACUAUGAUUAUUGUAGUAAAUAUUCAAACUGACUCCGAUGCGAUUAUUGUUCAAUUUAGGUUGGUUUAAAGUUUUGAAAUUUAAAAAAAAUAUAUGACUUAGAUUUUUGUCGAACUAACAUCAAUCGAACUUCUCCUUAUUUUCAAGAGAUCACCUUCCAAAUUGAUCGAUUUUCAUCAUACUUAACCCUCGUUUCAAAUAUAAUUAUGAUUUAUGAGAGACUCUUAUCACCUUGGAUCGUAAUGAAGUUUUAAGAGUUCAAGUUAAACCCAUAAUGAAAUUUUAGGAAUCACAAUAGUUUAACAUUGGAUGGCAGAGCCACAGAGGAAGAGUAGUGUACAUCAAUCACAUUAUCAUAGAUUGAUUACGUUUCCUGUUGGGUUAAUCGUGACCAACAUUACCAAUUUGGAUGGGGUGGGGAGGAGAGAUAUUUUGGAAAGGCAUUUUUAUUAACAAAAUAAAAAAAAAGAAGAGAGGGAGAAAAAGGCAACUGAUAUUUUUUGUCUUUCCCCAAACCCUAUUGUGUUAUGAAAACACAAAAAAGCCAAACACAACCAUCGCCCCUUUUCGUUUACUGAAAACUCACUACAAACAAACAAACAGCACCAUAAAACCCAAAAGCAAAUAUUUCUUCCAAAUCAACAUCCGCCGGCUACUAAACACUUUAAGCAUCUGCAACUUCCGGUGACUCUCCCGCCGCCAGUAGCAACUCUUCCUCUUCAAGUCCAACCUUUCUUUCUCCCAUCUCUCCUUCAUCCCCAAUGCUGUUCGCCUCUCCCAAUGACUUUAGUGCCAAGUGUGCUGCCUUCUGCCCUGAUAUCAUCAUCGCCCCGAACGUUGGCCCCUAUGAAUGGCACAGUUUAAGACUAAUAAAUAUGGGUAUAACGAAAUCUUUCGGUGGUAGCAUCUAAUGCAGAUAGCUACCGGAGUAAACAAGUUAGUAGUGAUAGACCCAGAUAAACUCUGAAAAGUGUAAACUCAUCUAAAUGCUGCUAUAUUUUACUGUAUCAUGAUUAUUAAACGGUCUAAAGCAAUAAUCUCUCUCUAGUUAAUUUGUUUACCAUUCUUGGAGCUCCAUCGAUCUCCGCAACCUCCAUGCCGGUGACAAUCAUGCCAGGAACGACCUCUCGAGUGAAUCGAACAAUGGCAUCCUCAGCAGUGUUCAUGUCAAGGGCCUUCAUUCCCGGGACACUAUCAAUCAUGCCGAUGCUCUUGAGGCGCUUGACUCCGGUAGCGCCAAAAGGUCCAUCGUGGCCACAAGAGCUCACAACCACCUUAGCCUCCAUCACAUUGGGGUCCAUGCAGGACUGCGUGUCAUGGUUCAUUGACACAAGAGCCCAGUUGGUGACAACACCGCCAACUCUGCCGCCCUUGACAAUCAAAUCCUCUGCCGCCACGGCGUUGAACAGCUUCACGUUCGGCCGGGCCAAGAGCUUGCUCAUGAUCGUCGACGUGAACAGAGCCGCGUGCUUUAUCACGACAUAGUCGUCUUGCUCGUCAUACUCCACACCCACCUCAUCCAAGAACAAAUGAGCUGGCUUACGAACCACCUAUCAAACAUUAAAUUUAACCAACAUCAAUCAGAUGAACAAGAUCAGAAUAUUUGUCUGCGAUGAAAAUUAAUCUAAUUUUUUAGGGGAUCACAAGAUCUGUAAACUAUUUCCCCUCAAAUUAAUGAUUAUGAUAUUAGUUUCUGGGUUUCUUUAUUUCUGAUCUCUAUUAAAAAGAAAUGAUUUUUUUUAGUCCAAAUACGGCAUGCAUGAAAGCUGAUUGGGUGAUUUUCAAAAUUUUGGUAUUUUCAAGAAAAGAACAAAACAUAAAAUAAAAACAGAGCAUCCAUUCAAAUUUGGAAAGUGAACUUGUUACCAUAGCAGAGAAGAGUUGGCCGCCGAGCCAUGCACCGCCACCGGGGCUGACGGAUUGUUCGAUGAUGGCAAUACGAAUAUUGGGGUUUUUGCUGAGUUCGUAAGCGCAAGAGAGGCCGGCGGAGCCAGCGCCGACGAUGACAACGUCAGUAUCAGCGUAGGUGAUCAUAUCGGUCAUGUAUCGACGGGUCAUCUCUCGAGAGACAAUAGAUUCUCUGAUAGGGUUGAAUUUGAAUUGGUUUAAAUCGUAGGGAGGCUGAGAGGCGGAGGCAGAGAUGGUGAGGGACGUGGCGGCGGUGGAUUUGAGGCGGAGAGAAGAAGGAGAGGCGAGAGGUGUGCCAUGGAAAGAGGAAUCAUGAAGUAAAGAAGGUUUUUGGAGCUUGGUGGUGAGAGUGGAGGCAAUGGAAGCCAUUUUUGAAGCAGAGGAAAACAGAGGAGAUUGUAGUUUGGUGUGGGGAAGAAGAGGGGAAGGAAGAAGGGUUUUAUAGAGGAUAUUGAAGAAUGUAACAAUAUCUUACACGCUUGCAUGUAUGAUGCAUACAUUACCUAUGCAUGUAUUUCAAACAUUGAUGCAUAUAAUCGAGAUUUUCAUUUAUCCAUGUAUUUCUCUUUUUACUUUUUUUAACAUAUGAUAUAUUAAACAUAGGUUUAGCAAUAAGUAACUAAAAUUAGUGUUAUUGUAAUAAAAUUACAUUAAUUUUGAUCAUAUUUACUUACACAUUUUACAAAUGUCUUAUCCAAAUAGUUCACUUUAUGUUGUCUUCUUACUAUUGCUCUUAUUAUCAAGGGUCAACAUAUUUAUAAUUCUCUUCUUCUAAUAGUAACACCAUAAUAUCCCCUAAUGAGUUGCAUGUAAUUUCAAAUGCAUUUAGAGAUUGGUCAUCUUAUCUCUAUAAUUAGAUUGCAUUACAAAUUUGUUUGUGAGGACACCAUUUUUUCUACAAUUACAGAAUAAAUGUAAACAACAAACCUAAUUAAAUGAGACACCCUUUUCAAAUUCUCGUUUGAUUGGUUACAUUUUCCGAGUGUAUAGUCACUCUAAUUUUAUACUGUUGCAACCAAUCCAAAACCAAAUCAAAUUAAUUGACUUUAUUAAAUAGAGAACCAAAGAUGCCCAAUAGAAGAUAGAAUCUUUUUUUUUUUUUUUUUUUUUUUUUGGGUUUCUAACCAAUGGAGUCUUCUUUUCUUUCAACUUUUACUUUGAAUGGGUUACCUUUUUUUACCAUUUUUAUAGAUAAUUAUGAAAAAAGAAGUAUCCAUUGGCAUAAUAUUUGAGUUUAUUAUCACUACAGUUUUCAAGCGAUACGCUUUCUAUCCAAAUUGAAAUGGUUGGAUUUUGAUUGAUUUCUUGAUAAAAGUUCAAACCAAAAGAAUAAACUUUUUUAUUAUCUCUAAAUAAUAAAAAAAAAAAAACCCCAAUCAAAACAAGAAAUGAACUUGAUUGAAUUUGAAUUUGUUUUGUUUUUAUUUUCUUGAACUCGAGUGUAAGGAGUAUCCAAAAAUUAGGGUAAGAAAAGUUCAAAUAUUUGUUAAGUUGGGAAGAGAGAAAAUAUCUGGAAGGGGACACGUGGGAAGAAGAUAGGAAAUGAAGGGCUGAGAAUGAGGUGAUGGUGUUGGACACGCGGCAUCCAUGGCAGCCAUUUGUUAUUUCUUUUCUUUUUCUUUUGCCAAAAUGAGAUUUUUUUUUUUCUUUUUCCCAAUAAUAUGAUAUGUUUGUUGAUUUGCAAAAUAUGGAUUUGUGAUUGUGAAUCAUGAUAUGUCCGUUUCUUUCGUCAAGAUAUUUCACAUAAUCUUGUAAAAGAAAGAGAUGUUUAUAUAUAGGCCACUCAUUUUGCUUUUUACUCUUUAAACCAUUGCUACACAUUUUAAUGCGUCUUUUCAAAUAAUAAUAUUUAUGUUUAUUAAUCAUUGAUAUUUUUUUGUAUCUACUUUAAACAAGAUUAAGUAUAGAGAAAAUACAUUUACAUAAGGAAAUAUUUACAAAUUAGGAUCUAAAUGUAUUCUAUUUCCCUAAUUUAAACAACUAUAUAAUUUACGAUCACACUCUUUCUCAAACUCAAGGCGGUAAUGUAGCAAUCAACUUGAGUUUGUUAACCAAUUGAAGAAAAUGGCUAGAAGCCAAAGCUUUAAUGAAGAUAUCAACUGGUUGUUCAGUGUCGAAAUGGAGUGUAAGAGAAGAUUGGUGCUUCGAAGAUUAUGACAAACAAAAUGAUAAUCGUUUUUAAUAUGGUGGGUACUCUCGUGGAAGACAUCAUUGUGAACAAUAUGCAUGGUAUUAUAAUUAUGUCUUUAUACCCUUCUCUCGGCUCAAGCCUUUACCACACUCUUUUGUCAAGUUGCAGUUGUGCAGAGAAAUCUCAACGCACUUAGUAGUUACUAUGAAUUUCACUACGCAUAAUGUGUCUUCCAAUGCUAGAUCACAUAAAACGCAAAGGGUAUUCUAUACCAAAUCACAUAGUAGGUAUGAGAGACAUUUCAUACUAGAUCACACAACAAGUAUGAGUCAUCCUAUUCAAUAUCACACAAUAUGAAUAGGGCAUUAUACUCCAGAUCACACACUAGAAAUAGGGCAUCUCAUCUUAGAUCACACAGCAAGGACAAAACAUUCUAUCGCAUAGGGUACAAAAAUUAUCUUUUUCUAGGAAACAUUGAUUUCUCAUUUUCAUGUAAUACUAGCAUCAUCAAUAGCACAUGCCACAUAGUUUAACGUAAUUGCCUUAAAGGGACUUAAAGAGAUUGUUUUCAAGCAUUUCUUUUCAUUUGAAGGUUAUUCGAUAAGAUACUUUAUUAUGUACUCAAUCACCUUUUAUUAGUUUCAUAAUGAACCAAAUUCAUACAUAAGUCACACAUGUUUAUGGGAGUUGAAAAAGUAUAAGGAAAUCCAUGUAAACAAAUUUGUAAUAACGAUAGUUUUAAGGGUUCAAACAUAUUAGAAAUCCCUUUAUAUAUUUGAAAACAUUUGCAAGGGAGGAAAACCACUCACUGCUGCAGUGAGCUAGCUCUUCCUUCUAGCUUCCUUGACCAAGAGUUCUCCUGUGCUUUUCAGAUUCCUUGAAGGAAUGAGUUUUUCCUGCACCUUGAGACUUUGGUUAUCCUCCCCGUUCUCUCUUAAGAAACUUAAGGUAAAAACGUCUUCAGUUCGGUCUAAAAUCCUCAAUUUAUAUGUCUCUCUGGUGAAUUUUUUCAUGUCGAAAUGAUUACGCUUUACCGACGGUGAGGAGUGGCCUAAUCUCGAAAUGCCAUGUAUCUCUGUCCAAUCCUUAUCCUGAUCUAGAUUGGGUGGCGAGUCCAAUCAAUCAUCGACCUACUAACAUUAGGGUCACAUCACUGUUUCUUGAUGAGGUAGGUCAGAAUUGUCCAACUGUUCGACGCAUAACCUUCUUUGCAUGGGGACUUUCUAUUGCAUGAUCCUUUAGCGAGGCAUGGUUUACUAUCAGAAGUCUCUUUGCAAAACAUUCUUACCGCAAGGGAUUCCUUGUAUUGGGGGUACGCAAUCAGGGCCUUACACGCGAUUAGACAUUUUCCUUUAAAACACUAACCUUAUCUUCUUGGAGUGCUCAAUUCUUUAUCGCUUGACUCUCUUCUCGAAAAACAAUAGAACAUUUACUUUACCUCAUACGGUUGUCUAGUCAUCUCAUACAAACAUCCAUCCUUUCAAUAGAACACCUACUUCAUCGCAACAACACUUAGGUGCAAACACUUCUCCUCGAGUUACUACAUAGGACAUCUAGUUCUUUGCGUUAAAUGCAUGUUUCUUCUUUCCUAGCUAAUCAUCGCCUUGCUUCAAGGCAAUAGUUACUAUAAGUAUCUCUCGUUGUGUCACCUCUCCUUAAAGGCACCCUUCAUCGCAUAAUGCUUUUUACUUACAUUUAACUAAAAUGACUCUUAUUAACAGGGCUCCUCUUCAACAUGACUCACUUUCUCCAGAUUAGAGCCUCAAGUGGACUAUUGAGGUACUCUCAUAUCCGUAAGGAUCCAUGGAAGUCAUGAUAGUUAUAAAGUAGCAUUAGCAGAAGCCCAAUAUUAUGAUUUAGUGCUGGAAAAGAAGACAACAUUUUGCUUUUUACCCUACCAUGAUAUUAUGGGAUUACUUAAAUAGAAGGAAUAAAUGAUGGUGGAGUGUCGAUCAUUAGGAUCAUCAACCCAAUCAACAUCAAAGUACCCAGAUAACACCAGAGGUGUCGAGAAGAGAAAUGAAAUCUAUGUCUCAAAGUACCUUUGAGGUAGUGAAAAAUGUUCCAUCAACUUACUAACAAUGUGCACAACAUAUGCAACGUUAGGACGAAUCACUAUCAGAUAAAUGAGGAUGCCAAUAAGUUGCCUCUAAAGAUUGAUAUCAUCAAGAGGAAUACCCUCUUACGGUGUCAAGUGGACAUUGGGAUCAAGAAGUGUUGGUGUCUUGAUGGAGUAAAUGAUACGGAGCAGGCUAAUAGAUCAGAGACAUUUGGCUUGAGAAAACAAGUAACCAUCAAGACAUGUUGAUACCUCAAAAACAAGAAAGUAAUUAAGAGAGUUUAAGUCUUUCAUUUGAAUAACUAAGAUCAUGAUAUCUACCGUUGCAACACUAAGAUAGCCCGAGGAUCAUCACCACUGAUAAUCUUGUCCAAUACCAUGAAGAAAAAUUAGAGAAUUUAUGACGGAAGAGUUUACAAGUUUUUUUUUACAAAAUGUAGUUCCAAAUUAUUGUAUGAAUAAGUGCUUGCGAAAAGAACUUCUAAUUUUUUGGAGGGAAAGCCGUUUUCUUCAAAUAAGAUGUCUUGAAACUUGUGGUUUGUUAACAACAAACAUAUUAUAUUUACAUAGUAAAGUUUUUAAAAGGUUAUUAAAUAAAAUUGUUAUUGAACAUGAAUGAAUUGCUUAUUUCAUAAUAGAAAACCAUAAAUCUAAUAAACUAAGAUCUAUGGUUAUGAGUACGAGUACUUGAACUUUAUGUAAUAAUGUAAGAAACUCCCAAUGAAGUGAGAACUAUGUUGGGUGUUGGCCUCAUCUUCUAACGGGAGAAGUCGUCCAGAAAUGGAUUGUGAAAUUUGUGAUGGAGACAACUCCCAAUGAGCCAAAGGAUGCCAUUGGGAACUCGUCCCAACCCUCGACGACAUUCAUUAAUAAGGCGAAGAUGAUAUGAACUGAUUUUGGCUUGAUCCAGGUAGGUCCAAAAUGCUAGAUAUUUAUUAAUUGAUUAACUAGUUUCUUGAUUGAGUCUAAUGAGUACUGUGUAACUAAUAGUAAUAGUAAUGAACCAAUCCUAUAGAUUAAAAUCAAGUAGGUUUUGCAUGAAAAUCCCAUAAUUUUAUAACAUUAUCAAAAGCUUUGAGUUGAAAAUGGAUAGUAGGAAUAGAUAUGUUAUCAAUCCAAGUGAUAAUUUGGUGAUUCUUACUGUCUCAAUCUUUUCGUCAUUUAACAAACAUACUAUCAUCUUUCUUGUCCAAUGUAGUUUGUUUAGCAACAUCACCAAUGAAAAUUUUCCGUAGUCUAUGUUCAAUUAAAAAAAAUUCGUUUGAUGGGUUCAUGCAUUUAAGAUAAUUGGUCCCAUCAACAACAGUACUAAUAGAACAAAAAAUGUGAUUUUUUUCAUUAAGGACUGAACAUAAAUUAACCACCAAAAUACACAACAAGAUUGAAAACAAACAAAUCUAAGUUAAAUCACAACGAGCAGAGACUAAAGUGCCAAUGAUCAGAAUAGGUGCAGGACCAGUUAGAAGCUGGAAUGAGUAGACGUAGAAUAUGUUUAGAUAGUUAUGAUAUAUUAUUUAAUUUAAACACCAGGUGUUUGUGAUUAUAUUUAUUUUUUCACUGAAAAGACACCAUCAUAUGAUUGGAGAUAUUUUCUUUUCACUUAUAUACAAUCAAUUAAUGAAUGAAAAAUAUGGUGUUAAUUAACAAGGUAUUAGUUGUGAAGUAUUAAAUAAUGGUAAAAAUUGAAACAAAUUUGUUUUGUAUUUUGGUAGAAGAGAUAUUAUUAAAUUGAGAAGGGGUAUAUCUGCUAUCACAGUCAUGAAAAAGAGAGAAAUUAAAGUGGCGAUGGGUAGCUACAUCACAUCUCAACUUGCUCCCCUCCAUCCACUAUUUUUCGUCUUCUUUCUUCUUCGACGUGAGGAUGAACUAUCAUUGGAUUUAGAGGUGGUCCAUACAACUUCAAGAUUUUUUUGGUACCAAAAUCACUUUAUAAAUUAUAGUCUAAACCAUGUUACUCUACUUUUUUUUUUUUUUCUAACAUCUCCCUCCUUUCAACAAUAUUUUUAUUGUAUCUUACAAAAAUAUAGAAGAAUAAAAUAUCACUAAUCUACUUACAAUAUAAAUAUAAUAGACAAUAGAUAUGUAACGAAAUAUUUAUGGAGAAUUAUUGUCAAUUGCAAACGUUGUGAAAAUAUUUAGAAAGUUUAGCAAGAUCUAUAUGUGAGAUUUUUCUAUAUUUUUUAAGUAUUUUUAUUUAUUUUGCUAUAUUUGAAAUGAAUACAAGGUUUAUUUAGUGAUUUAAAUUAAAUUUUUUUAUUUUUAUAGUUUUUCUAGAAAUGUUCAACCAUAUAGACUAAAUUUAUGUAAAAUUAGCACUUUCAUAUUUUUGUAGAUAUCAACAUUUUAAUCCUUCAUUUUAAGCAUGAGAUUUAACUAAUCAUGUAUCUAUAUUUUAUUAUUUUAUGUUCUAUUUUAGAUUUGUACUCUCUUCUGCAUUUUCAAUAAAUCAUAAAUUAGUCCUAGUUUACUAUAGUAAAGCUAAUUUUUUUAAAAAAUAAUAUAGCAAAAAAAAAUUCUCUAACCAAUGCAAAAAAAUCCAAAAUAUCUAGCUUACUUCUCUCAACCAUGAUCAUUGUCAAUACCUAAUAGACAUUGAUAGUCUAUUAUUACUAUUUAUGAUAGUCUAUUACUCUAGAGUGUCUAUAACUGAAUAGUUGGUUGUUAAUAAGAAAGUUGAUGAUGAUUGUUCUUAAUCUUAUGCUCCUUAAUUUGGUUUUAAGGAAUUAGUUGUCAUUUAAUAUUUAUUGAAAAUAUAUAUUGUUAUUGGGAGAGAGCAAUUUUGAAAGUAUUCUCUAGACUUAAGCAUAUUAAUUUCUUCUUACUCGAAAAGAUAAAAGAAAACAUGUGUAUUUGAAUUAUCUUAAAAACAUUAAGAUCUAGGGAUUAAAAGAAUGCAAGAGCUUGCAUUGAUGGUGGUACACAUGUGUUCCCUACACCUCAAAAUCAACCAUCAUCUCAAGUAGCUCAAAAGGAAAUUAAAGGUCGAAGCUAUAGAGUAGCAAGAAGGAGCUGAGUAUUAAAUCAUUUUGGGUUGUAUAUAUACAUAAUAGAAAUCACUCCAACUCAAUUCAGAAGACGUUUGAAACCAAGAAUUUCUAACCUAAAUUUCAUUAGCUUAUUUGACAUCAUUAGUCCGCCAUCUAAAGUCAUGGCUUAUUCAUCUAUAAAUAUAAGCUACCUACAACUUUUGAGUUGUAUAACAAAAUUUUAAGAGAUUAAGGGAUCAAGUUUAGAGAUUAAAAUUGAAUAUUUUUUAAAGUUUAGAGACCAAACUAAAAUAAGAUUCAAAGUUCAAUAGGGGAAUAUCAAAUUUAAACCAAACUAAAUACGUUUUUUACAUACUGAUUUGUAUUUAUUUUUUAAAUAACCAAAACAUUUUCAUAGUGGGUUUGAUGUAAACCAAAUUGGAGAGUUUUACUAAUGUUUAAAAGUUGUUAAUAUAAGAAGAAAAGUACUCUAUUUAUAGCAAACUGUUAAAUGAAAAUUUUGAGUAAACAAGUAUUUACUAUUAUUUUAUUCAACACAUACAUUUCCACAUUGCUAAGAAGUCUCCUUUAUAAACUCAUAGAUCCGCUCAUGGGUUUGGGCCCUAAAGACACUCAAGUUUUGGAAGGAGUGAGUAGAUAGUUAAAUGUAGAUAUGCUUAUAUCUCCACGUGCACCACCACUGCCGUCUGUCGAGUGAGGCGAGGAGGAAUAAAAUAAUAAUAUAUAUAAUUUUUGGUAAAUUAAACACUUUCCAAAGUCGAAAUAAUAUCCAAAUUAAAUGGUAUUUAUCAAUCAAUUUUCUUUUGUGUUUUAUAACCAUUGGUUGCCUCCACACUCACUAUAUAUAUCAAUCUAAUUCUUCUCUUCAAUAUACAGAAAUUAUAUAUAUUAAUGAUGAAUUGGACUCUCUUGAAUUCAAUAGAACUUGGCACCUAGUUGACUUACCUGACCUUAGCUGCAAAGCAAUAGACUGUAAAUGGAUUUUAAGGAAGAAACUCAAACCUGAUAGAUCAAUAUAUAAGUAUAAGGCUAGACUAGUAGCAAAAGGUUUUAGGCAGAGGAAAAACAUAGAUUUCUUUGACACCUUCUCUCCAACCACUGAUUUCUAUAGUUUUCAUUAACAAUCUCUUAAUACAUCAAAUGGAUGUUAAAAACUGCUUUCCCUAAAUGAUGAUUUAGAAGAAGAGAUUUAUAUGGAACAACCUUAAGAUUUCAUAGUUCACCGUUAAGAAUCUAAAGUUUAUAAAUUAGAUAAAUCCUUCUAUGGCCUAAAACAAGCUCCUACGCAAUGACACGAAAAGUUUGACAACUUAAUCAUUUCCAAAGGAUUCAAAAAAAUGAGAGUGACAAAUGUAUUUACUAUACGACUGAAGAUAGAUUAUGCACUAUCAUAUACUUAUACGUAGAUGACAUGUUAAUAUUUGGAUCAAACCUACACGUCAUAAAUUAUGUAAAAUCAAUGUUGAGCACAAACUUUGACAUGAAAGACUUAUAAGAAGAUAAUGUGAUCCUAGACAUCAAAAUUACCAUAACUAAAAAUGAAAUGUUCUUAGAUCAAUCUUAUUACAUAAAAAAGAUCCUAAAGAAGUACAAAUACUUCGAAAGCAAACCAGCUUGUACACCCUAUGACUCUAGUGUUAAAUUGUUCAAAAACACUGCUGGCAGUGUUAACCUAUCAGAGUACGCUAGUAUCAUAGGUAGUUUGAGGUAUGCUGUUGAUUGCACUAGACCAUACGUAACUUACGCUGUAGGAUUACUAUGUAGGUUUACCAGCAAAUCUAGUCUAGAACAUUGGAAUGCUAUAGAAAGAGUAAUGAGAUAUCUUAAGAAAAUACAAAAUAUAAGAUUACAUUAUCAAAAGUUUCCCGCUAUACUUGAAGGUUACAACAAUGUUGAUUGAAACUUUCUCUUAGAUGACUCAAAGGGUACAAGUGGCUAUAUUUUUAAUAUAGCAGGAGAAACUGUUGCUUGAAAAUCCAAGAAACAAACAAUAUUAGCCUAGUCAACGAUAAAGUUAGAGAUGAUAGAACUAGCUACUGCUAGUGAAGGAGCAAACUUGCUAUAAGAGAUUCCCACACGGGAAAGAUUGGUACCGGCAAUACUAAUCCAUUGUGAUAGUACUACAACUAUCGCAAAAGUUCAGAAUCAUUAUUAUAACAGUAAGAGACGACAUAUACGUCGUAAACACAUUAUCAUUAGAGAUUUUCUCACUACUGGUGCAGUGAUAAUAGAUUAUGUUCGAUCUGAUGACAACUUGGCUGAUUCUUUGACGAAAGGACUAGCAAGAGAGAAGGUCUUUAAAACGUCAGAAAGAAUGAGACUCAAAAUUUAUAGAAAAUUUAAUUACUUGUGAGGUAAACCCAACUUGAAAGACUGAUCCCAAGAAACAAGUUUAAUGGGUAAUAACUGAUCACAAGCAAUAUGAUGAAAAUCAUGCUAAAAUAUUAGAAGUUCCAUUCUUAUGAUUGAAUAAUUAGCAUGACAUCCUGAAGUGUAUGAGAAGGCUAAACUUUGUUCUUAAUGAAAUAUAUACUUGAUAUCAAGUAAGGUACCUAGCUACAUAAGUACUCUUGAUAGCUUCACCUUUGUGAAUGUGGAAGUGAGAGUUGCUUCCUUUGGAAUUUUGGACAAAUUCCUAGAACAUUCACUAAACCGGGUUAUACGUGCAAGGCCAUAAAUCACAAGCUAUUUUAGAACUUCACUCGAAUAAUGUUGUGUGGACAAUAGUAUUAGAAGUAAAGUUCAAAACUACAAGUUACUUUACAAUACUCUAAACUGUUGUCACUACUUAAAGGUUCAAGUCAUUAGACACCUUUACUUAAGCACAAUAUUAUAGAGAUAGACACUGAUCGAUGGAAACGUUUUAAAACAAUUUCAAGUGGGGGACUGAUAGUAUGAAUAUUUCAAGUGGAAAAUUGUUAAAUGAAAAUUUUGAGUAAGCAAAUAUUUAUUAUUAAUUUAUUCAACACAUGCAUUCCUGCUAGUAAUGUGGAUGUCUACUUUGUAAACUCAUAGAUCCAUUUAUGGGUUUAGACCCUAAGGGCACCCAAGUUUUGGAAGGGGUGAGGAGAUAGGAAAAUAUAGAUAUACUUAUAUCUCCACGUAUGCGCACCCCGCCAUUGUUGGGUGUGGAGGAAUAAUAUAAUAAUAAUAUAUACUUUUUCUAAACUGUUUUCUUAUUAUAAACAUUUUUGGUAAAUUAAACACUUUCUAAAACUGAAACCGUAUUCAAAUUAAAUGGUAUUUAUCAAUCAAUUUUAUUUUGUGUUUUAUGAUCGUUGGUUGCCUCCAAAUUUACUAUAUAUAUGAGUCUCAUUCUUCUCUUCAAUAUACAGAAACGAUUUCUCUCCCAAAAAAUUUCUUCUGAGCAUAUGAGUGUUUAUCUGAGUGUUGUGAAUUCUGAUUAGUUUUGAUAUAAAACUAAUUGAAGAACGAUGUAUUUUAUCAUGGGGACGUCGAGGCAAUCAAACUGUUUUGGACAAAGGAGCAGAGACGCAAAACGUCUUAAAGAGAGCGAGAUUCGCGACUCAACCAUUUUCUCAAAAGUUUUUGUUUUGUAGUUUGCGUUUUGACCAAGCGUUUGACCACUAGGCGUUUUGAUCAAUUGGCGAGAUAGUCAGUAAGCGAGAUAAGUUGAGGAGGUGAUAACUAGGCGACUUGGUCAGACGAGAUACCAGUACAUUACACGAGAUACAAGGCAAAGAAGCACGCAUUUUGUCUAGACAUUUUGCCUAGGCGUUAAGACUUCUCAUUGCAUCACUCCUUCGAGUCAAAAAGCAACAACACAAACUAAUCCUAAUCCUAAUUAAUAAAAGAAACUAAUCUUUAAUCCUAAUAAAUAAAAGAAACUAAGCCUAAUCCUAAUAGAUUAAGGAUUUUAUCAUAAUAUCCUAUUCCUACUACAUCAUUCUAUAAAAAAAAAAACUCGUCCUUAAGUUUUAAAAUGAAAAUGAAUGUGAAAAUAAUAAGUAAACUAGUCGAAUAAUAUCCCAAUUUUGUGAUACCUAACAAUCAAUUCUAGAACUAAUACGAUAAAGAAGAACUCCAUUGUCAAAGAAUAUGCAGAUUUAUCAAAAAAAUAAACUAUCACUCAUUUUGUAACUGUGAUGAAAGUUCAAUUGUGGUUGAGUUUUUAAUUCUUCAAUAGGUUUCAAUUUGGGUCAAAUAGAUUAUAGUAAGAGAUAACGCGUAAAUAGCAAAAUAGUAAAUAACAAACUAAAAUGUAGCAAAUUUAAGAAAUAUUAAGAUUUAUAUCAAAAACGCCGGUUGCUGAUUUUUUUUUUUUUACUUUUUUAUACCCAAUUAUACUCUUUUAUAUAAGACAGUUUAUUUCUCACAUAUAUACAAUGUAUUUGAAUAGAUCAAAAAAUGAGACAGAAGAUCACAGAUUCACUAGCACAAUGUAUUUGUUAACAACAUUCAACUUUGGUAAGUCUUAACUAAAUAUGAUAUUUUAUUGCUGAAGAAGAUUGCACUAACAUCUCUUAAAAAAUAUGGCUGUAAUUUCUUUUAGAUUUUCGGAUGCUUAGCAUUUAAAUCAAUCAAUUAACAAUUUAUUUCUAUAAUUCAUAAUAGAUAUAUUUAAUAACGAUUUGAAUUCAAAUUUUGGAUAAUACCCCUAAAAUAAUAGUAAAGAUAAAUUCAAUAAUUUGGAUUCUUUAUAUUUCAUACUAUUUAUCAAAAUUUUAUUAAAUAAUAUAUAAUACAUAUUUUUAAUAACAAUUUAAAUUCAGAUUUUAUACCAUCCGCUAAAAUUGUCAAUUUGAAUUUAAAUGUUACAUAAUAUCCCUAAAAUAUUGGCGAGGAAAAAUUCUUAAUAACAAUUUGAAUUUAAAAAUUAAAAUUAAAAUUGUUUAAUUUAAAAUUUAACAACUUAUAUUUAAAAAAAUAUAUAAAACAUUUAUUAAAUAAUACAUGAUACAUAUUUUUAAGGGGAAUUUUUAAAAUAGUAGAUUUUACAAAAUAUUUACAGCUAUAGAAAAUUAUAAUUCUAUCACUCAUAGUCAUUUACAAAAUUUUGUUAUAGCUCAUAAAUAUUUUAAUUUAUUUUGUUAUUUUAAAAAAUGCUUCUAUUUUUAAUAAUAGUUUGAAUUUUAAAAAAAUUAUUCGUGAUAAUUUCUAUUAUCAACUUAUUUUGGUUGAUUUUUAAUAACAAUUUAAAUUUAAAUUUUACAUCAACCCUCUAAAAUAAUGUAAAAAAUGAAUACACCAUUUUUAGGAUUUUUAUAUUCCAAACAAUUUAAUAAUAUUUUAAAUUCAAAUUUUAGAUCCCAAAAUAAUGCCAAUUACGAUUGUCCAUUUAUUUUUACCAAUUUGAUAACAACUUCAAUUUUCUUAAUUUAACCAAAUCAAUUUAAUUUAUUUUUACCAAUUUGAUAAGAACUUCAAUUUUCUUAAUUUAACCAAAUUGAUUUAUUGGUUAAGUUGGUCAGGUUUGAUUGUGUUGAUUUUCUAUAGAGUUACAAUGUACUUAUACAUACUUUCUAGAUUAGUUUCACAAUAUUUGACAUAAUGUAUAGCAUAUGUUGCUCACAAAAUUACAAUGUAAUUUUAUGCUUUUAAAUAAUGUGAUAAACUAGUCGUUCUAUAUUACGAUCACAUGUUCAAAUAUUAAUAUUUAUUUGCUCCUAUAAUAAUGUACUUUUGCAAUUCAAAACAGUUACCAUUAUAAUAAUGUACUUUUAAUUAAUGCGAUAAACUAGUCGUUCUAUAUCACGAUCACACGUUCAAAUAUUAAUAUUUAUUUGCUCCUAUAACCAUGUACUUUUGCAAUCCAAAAAAGUUACCAUUAAGAUAAUUUGUUACAAAACCAACAAUAAGAACUAUUUCCUAAAUAUUGACAUUGAAUCAUAAUCAUGGUUGUUUAAUUAACCGAACUUUAUAAUAACCCAUAGAAUUAAGAUUUUCCAAACAUAGUAUAUGUUGAGUAUGAAUGAUGUUAUAAACAACAAACUUGGGACACAAACAAAAAGUAAAAUUUUGGUCAUCAAGAUAUAGUAUCAUUCCAUUGGGUAUAAGAUAAUCAGAUAUUUCAAAUAGAGUGUAUUUGAAUAGCUCAAAAAAAGAGACAGGAUAUUAAAAAUAGCACGAAAACAAUGUAUUUUGCAAACAACAUUCAAAUUUGGUAGACUUAACUAAAUCUGUUAUUUUGUUGCUCGACAAGAUUGCAGCAACCUCUCCUAUAAUAAUGACAAAUAUAUCUACCAGAUUUUGAGGUUUGUUAUAUUUUAAACCAUUUAUUAGUAAUAUCAGUAAUUAUUACAAUUUCUUAAAUGACCUUAAAUAUAUUUUUUCCUCUCCCUUGUUUCUUUACCAAUUCAUUAAGCAUUAUAUCUUGUAAGUUAAUCACUAAGGAUAGUUUAAUUUUAACAAAUCACCAAUCUUAAAGACAUUUAAGUUGAAAAAUAAAUACUUCCAAAAUAUGUGUUGUUAAUAACAAUUUGAAUUUAAAAUUUUAUCAACCUUAAAUUCGUGGUUGAUGUCCCAAAAUAAUGGAAAACAUAAAUUCAACAUUUUUGGAUUAUUUAUAUUUUAAAAUAUUUAUAAAAAUUUGAAUUUAAAUACCUCAACAAUACAUAUUGUUAAUAACAAUUUGAAUUUAAAAUUUUAUGAUCCCCUAAAAUCAUGCUAAUUGGUUGGUUUUUAUUUUAAAAAACUAUUUUAUCGUGCAAAUUGCAUUGAAUAACUAUGUUGAGACAUUGUGUUUUUAAAUUACGUUAAUAUUCAUGUUUAUCUUCGUUAGAUGUUUUCUUUUUUGUGUUACAGUUUUUGUCAAAAGCUUUCAAAAUGGCUUUUAUGUUUAGGACAGAAUUGUAAUUAUACUUCAUCUCCUUCUUUAGGUCUUAUAAAUUAGAGAAAAGAAAAGAAGUAGGACAAAUAAGAAGAGGGGGCUGCAAGCUAAAAAAACACAGUAGAGAGAGUUUUUUCUAGCAAAAAAGAUUGAUAGAGAAGAGUGCAGUGCGGCGAUUUUCGGUGUUCCAACAUAAAGAGAGACGUUGGUCGACCGAGAGGAAGACGUCAGAGGUUUAGCCAUUGGGUUUUGAGGCAGACAAAAGCUAACGAUUUUGUGGCUUUACAACGGCUACAACGUUUGUUUCGAUAGCUUCGCGAUGGGUUUAACGACUGGUUAACUAUGGUUUUCGAGCUGACAGAGGUUGGUUUAGUCGUGGGUUCUUCUUGGGGCAAUCGACGCAAGUGACAAACAUAGUGAGAGAGAGUUUUUGUGCAAACAAGAGAGGAGAAAAGUACAAUCAACAAAGAGGAAAACAUCACAGUUUCAACGUCAAUGGCGAGAUGAACAUCUCAAAGUCUUUGGUCGGAGGAGGCGGCAAGAUGAAAAUCCUAAAGUCUCCAGUCAGAGGAGCCAACAAGAAGAAAAUCCAAGUAUGAAAACUUUGAUGGGUUUAAAGGAGACGAGUUGGAAGCUCCAAUAGAUUUUGAAAAAGUUUGAUUUUGAUAGGUGUUAAUUGUGUAUUGGGAGUUUGAUUUUAAUAAUUGGGUAUUUAUGGUUCUUUUAAUAAUUGUAUUUAUGAUUCAAUUUUUUCAGUUAGGUAGGAGCACUCGAGACAUUGUUAUAGCAAUUAUUUUUCCAUAUUUUUUCGAUUCGGUUAUUUUAUCAAUUUAAAUAAAAAUUUGUCAUUUAUUCAAAAUAAACCCAAUAUUUUUCUAUUUUUCUGGUCCGCCCUUGUAGUAAUAUUGAGUGGACUUCAAAAUUGAUCUAGGUUUGGAGAUGAUAGGUUGAGCUUGAGAAGACCAAAAUUUUGUUUGGAAUAAAUUGGAUCAUCUGGGUUGGGUUAAGUGAAGGAAAACUGCAGCUGAUGGAUGGAUUAUAUAUGAAACACAGUACAAUAAAUUCUCGAUCUUCCACCGCUAGUUUUAAAUCGUCAGAAGAAAUGGCAUCAGAGAUGUGGUAUCGUCCAACGCACCACCCUAACAUGCCUAAAUUACAAACUACUAGUUCACAUGCCUAAAUUACAUCACAAAAGAAAUAGAAAUAAUAAAUAUACGAAAGGCCAUUAAUUACAAAGAAUAAUAUACAGAUUAUUUUCAUAUAUAUAUGAAAAUAUUUUCCAAUAUCCCCACAAAUUGGUGAUUUGGUUUCUUUGUACGGUUGAACCAUUCUUGCCCCAUGUAGCUUAAUGUUAGACCGUCAAAUCUUUUGUUAGGAUUCCAACCUACCCAGAGGUACUCAAGAAUAAACAGACAGCUCAAGAACAACUAAUUAUGAAAAAAUAUUGUUAGAACUGAUGUCCAAAAGAAUUGUUGUUCCGUGACAAACCACUGUUCUAAAAACAAUUACGGUACAACCAUGGUACUAAACACGAUGUCGGUUGCUUUUCAAGGUUAACACAACUCUUCAACUUAAACGUAUACUUGUUGGAAUAAGGAAUAGAAUCAAGAAGCUAAAUUAUGCCAAGGGAUGAAAGUUGAGAUGAACCGACGAUAAUAAAAGGAGAAAAAAAGAAACGACUAGAAUAAUCCUAUAGAUAUGAUAAACAAAAAACAAAAAGGAGAAUAAUCCUAUCACUAGAAACACACUUUACUUUUACAAUUAGCAUGCAGUGAUAUUUAUACCCUCUACGUAGUACUAAACAGUUCAAUGUGUGGGACAAAAAUCUGUCUUAUCCUUUACUUAUGGGCAUAAGUCCAUAAAUCAUUUCAAUAAAUGCCCGCCAAGUGACUAUUACAACAACGUUAAGAAGUAAACAAAAGAAAACAAAAGUUUUAAGAAAUCUAUUCUGAGCUAAGAUAGGAGAUCAAGAUUAUGCAUCAAUAUAUUGUAAUGAUUUGAAUUGAUUGGUAGUGUUGCAAGACGACUAACAGAGCGAGUGAGUUACAAAGCAAGAUCUCAAAAUUGGGCAGCGAUCCUUCUCAUGCGUUUAAAACACGGGACUCAACUACUAUCUUCCUUGGACUCACAAAUGUCUUCUCUUCAGCCUUGACCCGAAUUGGGGCUUCAACUUCCACUCUUAGACUCUGCCCAAUAAGCAAACCCAUGAGUCCCCAUUUUUCCUUCUUCAUUUCCAUUGACGUUGUUCUUCUGUAAUGAUUAUAGCAACCUUUGCUUAAUUCACCUCCUCUGCCCAUAUAUAAGAUAAUAAGUUUAACAACCCCUUUUAACUUAGCUUGCCCCAAAUGAAAAACUCUUCAAAUAUUAAUCCUAUAAAUCACUAUCUUUCUUAAAUGAAAGAGUGGGAUUCCAGCAAUUCAAGCCUAUAACCCAGCAUGUGGCUAUGGGCCCAUAAUUUAUUUGUCUUCCUUAAAGAGUAACAUUGAGUUUCUACAAAUUGUAGUCCAUAUUCAAGCCCAACAUCCUACUCAAUUUUUCCUUUCCAUAUUCCUCCUCCAAAGUAACGCUUGUCCUCCCUCCCAUUUACAUUUUACUAAGUAAUAACCCACCUUUGGCUGCAUCAAAAUAGAAUAAUGGGCUGUGUUGUGAUUCUGUGAAGUUAAAUUCAACUCUCCCGCAAGCCCUUCGCAUUUGUUAAAACAAUAAAAAAAUUAGUUGUUUUUGUUACUUUGAACUACUGUAACUGAUACUUGUUUGAGAGUGAGUUAUUUUGUUAAAAACAUAAACAAAAUAACAGUUUUAAUUCUUGUAGCUUAAAAAGGAAGCUUAGUAGAAAAAGUGAUGUAAGAAAAACUCAUCUGUAUUUUUUUGGCUUUUUGAAAACAUUUUCAUCUUAAAUAAUCUGUUGAAUAAAAGUGUGCUUGGAGACUUUGAAGAGUUCAUGUAAGCAAAUUUGUUGAACAAACCAUAGUUGUAUGUUCUUCUCAUUCUCUUCGUGCUCCAUUGAUCUUUGGAAGGCCAUUGUUGAAACUCUCAUCCAUCUUUUCUCUCUUGGUAACAUGCAAAACAAAAGGAAGAAAAUAAUUAAUAUACCUAAAGGUAGAGAACGUAGGUUUUGUAAUAAGGGUCAACCAUAAGAAUAUCAAUCUACAAUUUGUCAUUUAGAAAAAUAGCAAAACUGUUUUUUUUUUUCUUUUAAAAAAGGGCAAAACGAAUAAAAAUACAAUAAAUAGAAAUAUAAUCCAAAAUGCCCUUAGAUAUAUAGAAUGCCAGCUACUUUCUAAAGCUAAAAUAAAGUCUAAUUACACUAAUAAAUUCUCGAACAUAAUUAUCCUUACAUGUCCAAUCAAACUUAGAAUCCUUUUAAUCUUCACUUUCUAGCACUCUUGCAGUCAUCUUCAUUUUCCAUUUUCUUUUUCGAUAAUUAUUCAUAUCAAAGUCUUCAAGUUACAUAUUUAAUCUUCAAAUUACAAUUCCAUUAUUCCAUCUUCACCAAGCAGGCAAAACCUAAUCUCCACCCUCCAUUUUGCAAGUUACAAUUCCAUUUGAAGUACUUCAUCCUGCAUUUUUAUCUUCUUGUAUUUAAAACAUAAGAUUUUAUUAACUUCAUAUUUUUCACCAUCUUAAGGAAAAAUAUUUAAUUUAUAUUAGUAAUAUUUUAUAUAGAUUUUAGAGCGGUUUUAUCUAAAAAACGCAACAUUUUUGGGAUAUUUUGUUGGGAUAAAAAAAUAGAAUAAACCAAAAUUCAUUUAAAAAUCCUGAACAAUAGUGUUCUCUAAUAUUGAUUUGAGGUCAAGAUACCAUCCAUUCAAGGUUUGGGAAGUAUAUACUCUUAAGACAACAUUCAAAACGAGGUAUGGGCAAUAUGAGUUUUUAGUGAUGCCAUUCGAUUUAACAAAUGCACCUACAGUUUUCAUAGACCUCAUGAACAAUAUUUUCCAUCAUUAUUUAGAUUAGUUUGUGAUAGUGUUCAUUGAUGAUAUAUUAGUUUACUCAAUUGAUAGGAAAGUCCAUUAGGAAAAUAUGAGGAUUGUUCGAUAGACAUCACGUGAUAAAUAGUUGUAGGCUAAGUUCAACAAAUGUGAGUUCUGGUUGAAACAAGUAGUGCUCUUAGGGCAUGAAGUUUCAACAAACGAAGUUAGUGUUGAUUCGUAGAAAGUGAAAGAUGUUGUCAACUGAGAGAGACGAACUAGUGCAACAGAAGUACAUAGUUUCCUAGGCCUUGCAGGAUACUACAACCAUUUUAUUGAGGAUUUCUCACCAUUUGCAUUACUCUUAACAACUUUGACAAGAAGAAUGCUAAGUUUGAGUGGUCGGAUAAUAUGAGACUUUCCUUUGACAAAUAAUCUCAUCUCCACUAUGUUGAUCUUUUUUAGAUGAACUGUGAGCUUCCUCUGGUACAACAUCCAUAAGCUCACUAAUACUCGAAACACACAGUCUUCUUUUCUUAACUAUGACUUCAUAUAUUCUCAACUCAAACUCUACCUCUGAGCCUUACUUUCAUGACUUUCCAAGUAUAUUAUGUAAGUUACUAUCCUCUAGUUAUCUUCUCACAAUCUCUACUACUAGAGAAGACCUAACCUGAAAUUAAGCUACAAGACUCAUUGUACUCUCUACAGUCAUAGCCCUAUUAAAGCCUCUUAACUCACUUAUCAAACUUGCUCGAAUGCCAUACAAGGCACUCUUUGGAAGUCUAGACUUCAUAUUGAAUGCAUUUGCUACUAUGUUAUUCUAUGGUAUUCUAUGGUACAGUCACAACUUAUAAUCAGUUCUAGCCAUCACCUCUAUCUUAAAUUAAACUCUUUGAUCAAAGAUAUACUUCAGACUCUUACCGAUAUGUAAAAAUGUGGCACACUUCUCAUCGAAUAAAUAAUUUCUCUAGAUUUUCAUUGCUAAAACAACUAGUGCUAGCUCAAGAUCAUGGUUAGGGUAAUUAUAUUCAUUGUUCUUCAACUGUCUUGAAGCUUAGCUAUUAACUUCCCUUCCUACAUAAGGGUAUAACCUAAUCCUUGGGCUCGAGGCGUCACAAUAGAUCAUGUACUCCUUCUCUAUUUCAUGAAGUGUCAUAAUAGAUGCUAUGACUUGAAUCUCUAUCAAAACAAGGCAUCCUACCUGAUGAAACCAGUAAGAAGCUGUCUUUUUGUAAACAUUGUGUGUUAGGGUGAAAGCAAGAAAAAAAUACUUCUCCAAAGCCCAACACACUACUAAAGGAAUCCUUGACUUCAUCCAUUUGGAUCUAUGAAGACUAUCCUCAACUCCAAGCCUAGGUGGCUCAAGGUACAUUUUAUCCUUUACUGGUGAUUUCUUUAGAAAAAGUUGGAUUUAUUUUCGAAAAACUAAAAACGAAGUCUUGAAAAAAAAAAUUAAAAUGGAAAUUGAUGAGAGGAAAACAAAAAGAAAAAGAUAUUAAAUAUCCUAGAACCUAUGAUGGUUUGGAGUUUUGUGGAGAGGAUUUCAGUGCUUUUUGUAUGAAAAAUGGAAUUACAAAACUUAAGACAAUAAGAUACACACCACAACAAAAUGGGGUGGUCAAAAUACUUACAAGAACUAUCGUGGAAAGAGUAACAUUCCCAUUAUCUGUUUCCUGUUUCCUAUUUCCUAUUUCUUGUUUCCUAUUUCUUGUUCCAUGUUUCUUCUUUUUUGAUAACAAGAUACAAGAAUGUGUUUGAUAACUAUUUCUUGUUUCCAGUUUCUUAUUUCUUGUUUUCUUAAUUAUUUCCUACAUUUGUCGACUCACAUCUAAUUCAAUUAAAUAUUAACAAAAAUAUAUGUCGAUAGUUAAACACUUCUUCUCUACCUUGAGGGCAAUGUCUCAUUUCUUUAAAAUCUACCUCACUAACUUUAACGAUAUUUACCAACAAUAAAUCAUUUUUGGAUUUCAACGGUAUUUUGUCAUUUGUAUAAGUUCUAAACAUUUUACACAUUAGCUUGAAUAUGAGAUUGAAAUUGAAAGAAUGAAACUUUCUAUAAAAGUUGAGAUGGAAAACAUCUUUAAUCCUUACAUUUAUAUUUAUACGAAAAAAUACUUAAUACCACCUUUGGUUUUAUAUAUAAAAGAACAAAGACAACCUAAUAGAAAGUUAAAAUGUUUGAAUUUAUACAAAAAUGGUGCUAUAUUCCAAAAUUAUGGUUCAAGAUUACAUUUUUUAAGCUCUUGAAACUCACCAAACAAAGAAGAAAAAAAAGCAAAAAAACAAUAUCCUCAUAUUUUCUUCUAAAAUGUUGGGCCAAACAGAUAAACUUUAGCAAUAAUUUUAGCAUAUAAACUUUAGAUAAAAGAGAAAGAGAACAAAAAGAGAGUCAAAAUCUAAGCAAUCCAACCUCAUUUCAACAUUUAUAAAACUUCAGAUUCAACCAAGAACUUAGCUAAUACAAGAUAAAAAAGAAUGGGAAAUAGAAUGGUAUACUCAGAUGACAAUGGAGAUUAUUAGGUUCGAUUCUGACAGUAAAGUCUCCUCAAUAGAUUUCAGAAGAGGAAGCUCUUUAUCCUCAUUGUAACCCUUCAAGUUCCCAAGAAAAAACUCAAUCGCUCUUUAUACGAAAGUGUAAAAGGAAAAAAACAAAUUUUUCUUGAAGAGUAAAUGGAAACGAGAGAGAAAGACAGAUUCGAAAAGAUCAAUUCUGCAUUCCAAUCUAUUGAGCUUGAUCUUUCAUGAAAUCAUCAAAGCCACUUGUUGUAUAUAAAACCAACAAAGGAAAAUCCAAAGGAAUCCAACCCGUAUGCAUCCUGAACUCGUUAUAUGGUAUGCGACGCGACUGGAGCAACCCCAACACCUCAAAGGAAACGCCAGAAUGCUCAUCAACUUAACUCUUUAAAAAAAAAAUGUACUUUAAAAUUUAGGCGACAAUAACAUCUUAACGCAGUGGAUUGAGUUAAACAACUUCUUUAUUAAUUCAUCUUCAUGCACUCUACAAUACAAUUUACACGCUCCUUAAAUAUAACAAAUAUAUAACAAUAAUCUUAAAACGCCUUGCACAGCUUCACAAUAUGGUAGUUCGCCCUCCUUAUUCCAACCUUGGCCUUACAAGCUGGUGACCUAAGGAAGGAAAAACUUUAAAACGUACGUAAAAACUUAAUGAGUGAUAGUUUUGGAAAACCUUUUUGGACAUAUAAAUACAUGAAAUUAUUUUCAUAAACACGACUUUCAUCACCUCAUUUCAUAAAACAGAAAUACUCAUUAGUCCUUCAUAUUCCUUUCCACCAAGAACAUGAACCAUUCUCAUGCAUAGAUUACUGUGAUGUCCUUUUCAUCAACAUCAUCCUUUGGAGAAUAUAUAUCCUAAUUCAUUUCUCGUUGCUCAAGCCGCUAAGCUCAAUAUGCUCAUUUUACGCAUCGGCCAACUUCACUCCACUAUGCAGUUCUUUUCUACAUGGUUGUCUUUGCUCCUUACGUCCACAUAAUAGUUAGUCCAUUGAGAGGAAUAAGACUAAUGCACACAACAUAGCACACAAUCAAUAACAAUAGGUUUACUUGAAACAAAACACAACUUUCUUAGAAAUCGUUUAUUUCAUAUGAAACGUUACAAGUCAGCUAGAAAUUAUAAGAAAGCUUUAAAAUCUUUAAACAAAAUCAUUCACAACACAAAUUCUGUCUUUAAAACGUGUGGAUUCCCAAAGACAUUAUUCUCGCCUAGUGAGUUUCCUCUUAGCAGAAUAAGUUCAAAUAUUUCAACAAAAACCCUUUUUACCAUAAACCUUUGUUCUUAUUUAUACUAAUCCCAACUUGGAUUGGUCAUCACUAAUUUCUUUAAGCUUGACAACUCCUACUUAAAGUAAUCCAUAUGCUUUUCAAACCAUGUGGAUUAGCUUAAGUACCAUUAGAAAAUUUUCCAAAAAUUUCCUAACUCUUCAACAUCUGAUCUUAUCUCACGCUUUUCCCUCAAAAUGCCUAUCAUCCCUUACUUGCAGAUUCUUUCCUCAUGCUAAGAUCUUCAUAAUGCGACUUAUCAAAACACCUAUUUUAUAAAGAUUUCUUCCUAUAUCAAAAUCCUUUAUUUAUUGGUCAUGUUGAUGAAAAGGAACGAGAAAUGUGAGACAGCUUUUAAGCGUCAAGUAAAGCUAGUUUUGUAGUAGUGAUGACUUCCAACAUUGCGUAGAUCCUUCCACAUAUGAGUUUCAAUUGCCAUCAUUUUCUGUUUUUCUGAUAUUUUCUUUAUUGUUUUCUUUUUCUCUGCUUUGAUAUUUGCUAGUCUUUUCUCCUCUUUUUCUCUAUUUGUUUUUAAUGAUUCAAUAAGUGUUUGUUGCAAUGUUCUAACCUACAGAUGUCCACUAGAUGGAACAGGAAUGAGGGGAUGUCACUCCCUAUCCCCGUCCCUACAAAUUUCUUUUCCCUCGUCCCCAUCUGCACCCCCUAUUCCAUUCCCCAUUCCCCAUUCCCACAAAUUUUCCCAUGGGAAAAUAUUUCCCGCUUUUAUGUUUUUAUAAAUAAAUAGAAAUAAAAAUAAAUAUAGAGGUCUUUUAAAAAAAUAAAUACUUACAUUGUAUAGAAAAAUUUUGAAAAUGAAAAAAGCUCAAAGGUCCACAAUAUAAAGUACUAAAACUACUUCAGUCAAGACAUGACAAAUUGGUCACAUGUGCAUGAUACACGAUUGUGUAGAUUUUAAUACAAGAUCUUAGGCAUACCAUAUCUCAAGAUGCCCCUAGAUGAAAGAAUUAUUCCUUUAGUUAUUGUACCUCUGGCCUUAGUUGCACUGAGAUGGUCUAAAAUGUUAGAAUUCUGUCUUUAUUUUUUGAUCUUAGGCAUACAUUAUCCUGAGAUGCCUGUAUGUCUCAGGAUGAAAGACUUCUAGCUUUAGUUAUUCGAUCUCGAACAUACAUUGCCCUGAGUUGACUCAGGAUGAAGGAAUUCUUCCUUUAUUUUAUUCAAUCUCAGGCGUACAUUGUCUCAAGAUGUCUUGAGAUGAAAGACCUCUGCCUUUAAUUAUUCGAUCUUGGCCUUAAUUGCAUCAAGAUGACCUGAAAUGAAAGAGUUCUGCCUUUAUUUUAUUUGAUCUUGCCUCGAAAUGUCAUCGAAUGAAAGUUUUUUGUCUUUAGUUAUUCGAUCUCGGGCCUUAAUUGCACCGAGAUGGCCUGGGAUUAAUAGAAAUAUACAUGUGUGUGUGUGCGUUUUUUUCUUUCGAGGCAGGGUCGCGACCAGGUUCCGAGAAUGUAUUCCCCAUCCUUAGUCGUGAAUUGUUAAUAAAAAAAAAAAAAAAUCCUUAGUGCCUCUCCCAUUUUCCUCCUCGUUGUUGUACCUCUAACAAUACUUCAUUAAAAAAAAACACUAUUAAAUUUGAUGUUCCAAGAUGAGCAAUGGCUUUGUAAAAAUUGUUAGGAUCUCAACCUAACAAGAGAUACUCAAGAACACACAAACGGAACUCAAGAACAAUCAAUUAUGAAAAGCAUAUUUGAAAUAAAUGUUAUAACAUCAAAGAACAAGUAACUUGCUCUUUGCGAGGACUAGACUCUCCCAAAUCCCCCACAAGAAAAUUGAUCCACACAUAAAAUUCUUCAUACUCUUUCCCAAUCCCUCUCCUUGAUCUACAAUCCCUCUCCUUGAUCUAUUUAUACUAAAAAAGAACUAACUAACUUUCUAACUAUUUACUAAUAUAUAUGUUCCCAACUAAUAACCAUAUUAAUUUUCAACUGAAUAUUCCUUUUAUUCUUUAACUAGGGAUCUCACAUCUUCUUACCAAAUGGCUAGGUCCCUACUAGCUAACUAUAUUAAUUUACAUCAUGUAAUUUAGAAUCAUUCUUUUAGCUGCUUAGGUGAAGGAUAUUAUCGAGGCCAACUAGACUAGCUUUUUUGGGUGCUUACAAAUAUCUUAAGGUGUCAUUUCGGACUUAAAUGUAAUUUAGGCUGAAUGUGCAUUUAUAUUUAUCAAUAAUCAAACUUUAUGUCCUUAAUUCUACUUGUUGGGGAUUUUUGAACAUUCAUAAUCUAGAUAUAUAAUCGAGGCAUUACAAAACACAUGCAAUCAUGUUAUGUCAGAUCAUCAUACUCGUACCAAAGUUUAAAUACAAAUAACAAUUUUCGACUUUUGUAAGAAUGCAAGAGAUAUAUAUUGCACACUCAUGCCACUUGACAAGCGUUUCUUAACUAAUAUACUAUUUCUUAUGGAAAAUCUCUUAGCACACUCAUUUUGAGAUGUUUGCCCUCACUAGGUGUGUAAUCGGGUUGGGUUGGGAGACAUUCUCAACCCAACCCAUACUUUUGGGUUAUAUGGGUUGGCAACCCGAAUUUAGUUUCCAACUCAAUCAGUAAAAAUAUGGGUUAGGUUGGGUUAUGUUGUUUUUUUUUUUUUUCUUUCUUCGUUUCUACUUUCUAACGAAAACGAAGGUGGAUGGCACGAUUGUGAGGGAGAAGACCGAAGAGGGAGAAGAUCGACCGUCGAAAAUGGAGGUGGACAACGAGAUUGUGAGGGAGAAGACAGAUGACUGAGGUGAGAUGGAAGAGAAGAAUCGAACACAAUGAAAAAGGGUGAACAGGACGCAAGGGAAAGAAAAUUGAAGAGGGAGGAAGACCUUAAUUUUUAGAUUUUAUUUUAUUAAAUAAAUAAUAUAUAAAUAUGAAUAUAUAUACAUAUAUUAUAUUAAUUUAGGUUGGGUUGGGUUGACCCGAAUUUUUCAAUCGUCCAACCCAAGACCCAACCCAACCCGAAAAUAUUAAUUUUUUUUAAUCCAACCUAACCCUUACAAUAUGGGUUGGGUAGUACGGAUUAUCUGAAUUCAACCCAUAUUUUUACACCUCUAGUCUUCACCGUGGAUGAUCAUUUUCACCACGGUGGCUCAUUAGACCAUAGAGCAAGUUAUGGCUUAUGGCGGUAGAGAGAGCCAACACAAUGUAUUUCCCUUUAGAUCAUUUCAAGGUACAAAGUUGGUUUCAGCCCUCAAAUGUUGUGAGGAGUCACUCACUAGUGUGAAUACCACAUUUGAACUAUGAUUAAAAAAUUGAUGUGGUUGCUUUCUUCACUCAUGUGUCGUCAACUCUAGAUUCACCCGUCCAAACUUCUAACAAAACUCUGACUUUUAGGAGAGAAAUGACCCUAAGGAUAUCAGGAGGAGUGAAGAAGAAAAAGAAUAUAGAAAUGAGUAAAACAAUAAUAAACAACUAUAGAGGCAAUAGUGCAAGUAAUAAGGAAUACAUAUAUUACUUUGUACGUGACACGGAAGAAAUUAUAAAGUACUGUUGAGAGAAGCAGCCUAUUGCUAUAGUAGAAUUGAGACAUGUUACACCAAAUUCUUAUACUUAUAUUAACUAAUUUUAUCCGUGUAAAGUUAUAUAUUUGACAAAUGUGAUGUGAUAUUUGUGUGUACAUUGAGGGCAGUGCCCACUUUUCCUGAACACAUAAAUAAUGUUAAGUGAACAAUUGUAUGUAACUAGUCGUACCAUAUUAGACAUACACUUUUUAUAUUAUUAUAAGUAAAAAAAUAUCAUAAUUAAAGCUAAAUUUAACCUCUAAAUCGAAGUUUUGUGACUAAUAAAUCUCAAAUUUGUAAAUAAAUGUUAGAUAAAUAUUCUUGAUUUUUAAUUUUGUAUAUCUUUUGACGAGUACUACAACUGAACAUUUUAAACUUUGUAUAUCAUAAAUCACGAAUCAUGAUAUAAAGGAUAUAAUAUAUUUUUUUAAAGAGGUAUUUAAUGUUCCAUAUUGGUAAAUGUAUAUCAUUUUGUAACGAUGUUUAAUAAUCUCGAUAAAAAUUAGAUUUUUUUCAAUAGCUACUAUAAAUAUAUAUCUUUCUAAACGGUCUUUAAUAAUCUAAUUUCAAAGGUUACGUUCAACAAAUAUCUAUUCUUCAACUUUAUAUUUAAUAUAUUAUUCAUAAAUUAAAAAAACAAAACAAAAGCUGAAUACAGUAUGGUAUUAUUAUAGACACGUUUUUAAAGAUCAAGUGCUCUAUUAGAAGUAUUUGAACACGUUUGGAAGACUUGGAACUGAGUUUGUAAGGAAAGAAACAAAGAAAGAAGAAAAACAAAUGGCAAAGAAGAUGAUGAACGUGGAAGAAACAUAGAAAUCUCCAUAGCCAUUAAAAGCCACACCAUACAACCUUCAAAAUUCCACGUCUCAUCCAUGCAUUGCUCUCUUAUUCCUUCAAAUACUCAUCCUUUCAGCCACCACUUUUCUCCCCUACUCUCCUCUUUAAACAUUAUACUCAAGCCCAUAUAAUGAUGUCUACUAAACCACUAGUUUCCAUCCUCCUCCUUUCCCUCUUCCUCUUCGCCGUUGCUGCCUCCGACCACCAGUUCGACGAUGACAACCAAAGCCAACGCCCUUGGUUGCAAAGGUGCCGUCAGCAGGUUCUCGCCUUUCCAGUUCUCUUUUAUUUAUAGUUUCAUUUAUUCGGUUAAUUGCUAUUUUUUAUUUUUAUUUGUAUUCGUUGGGAUGAGAACAUGCAUACAAUCCACCAACUAGUUUGCUUGUGUUUUUGUUAUUUUUAAACAAAUAACUACUUUACUUUAAUAUUGUUCAAAAUUAAUUAUUUUGGUAUUUUCUAUACUUUAUUUAAAUAUAUAUUUCAUAAAUUAUUUAGAUUUCAUUUGCUAUUAAUAACUAUUUGUUUUUUUGUUUUUAUUUUUAAAAGUUAAGCUUAUCUUUUCUCCAAUUUCUUACGUUAAAAUGUUGAAUUUUUAGCUAAAUACUAAAAACCAAAACUAGCUUAGAACUUUAUAUAUUUUCUUAACUUUCAAAAAACUAAAAUGGUUUUAAAAAAUAUUGGUGAAAAAAUAAAUAAUGAAAUUAUAAAUUUAGACAUGAAAGAAAGGUUAUUAUAAAAUUUUCAAAAAAUCUAAAAACAAAAAAACUAUGACUCCUUUUUUAACUAAAUUAUAUAUAUAUAUAUAUAUAUAUAUAUAUAUAUAUAACUUUUUAAAUACCAUACUAAAGUUAUAUUGGCAAAAAUGUACAAAAAAAAAAUAUCCAACCAAUGUAAGCAAAUCCAAACGUCACUUUUCAUAUAGAACCCAAGAUUACUUAAAUCCCAAACCCAAGAUUACUUAAAUCCCAAAUUUUGAAAACUAAGAAAACACAUAAAUUUAAAAAUAAUUUUGUUUUAAGAAUUUAACUAACAAUUCUUAACUCUUUGAAAAAGAGGAAAAAUAACUUGUUAUUCACCACACAAAUGUUUUAUUUUACUUUAUGUUUACCAACAAUCAAAUGUAACACCUACCAUGUCGCUAAAAAUGUGACAGAUUCGAAGCGGCGAACGGCUGCGCCACUGUGAGAGGUUACUGACACAGCCCCGCCGCUUCCGGCUGCUGUUAGCAGCGGAGGAAGAGGAAGACGCAGUGGAACAUCUGGAGGAAUGCUGCCAGCAGCUGAAAGGGAUGGACGAUGCAUGCCGGUGCGAGGGGCUUCGUCAGAUCGUGCAGCGCCGUAGGCAGCAAGGCCAGCUGCAGGGGGUCGAUGUUGGACAAAUGCUGGAAAGAGCUACAAACUUACCGUCGGUCUGCCGUCUCAGCCGACGCCGGUGUGACCUCCGAUCAACCACUCCAUUGUAGAAUAAGAGGAAAGAAAAGAGAGAGGAGAGAGAGAGCCCAUUGAGGUUGAACAAUCUGAAAAAUGGAGUAAUAAUCAAUAAAAUAUGAAGGCUCCCCAACUUAGAGGGAGAUCUGUGUACUAAUGUUUUAAAGAAACAUCACUUAGUUUCUUUUUUUUCUUUCUUCUUUCUUUCUUUUUAUUUUUAUUUUUGGUUUAGUUUUCUUUUCUUUACCUUUUUUUCUUGGGGUUUUUGUUUUGUUCUGUGUGCUGAAAUCGAAAUAAAUCAAAAUAAGUCUUAGACUCUACUGGGAAUAAAUAUCGUUGAAUCUUAAUUAUUUAGUUUACUUCUUUUAAUUUGGUUGAAUCUUAAUUAUUUUUGUUUACUUCAUUUAAUUCAUCUCUUUCAAACUAUUUUUUCUAAUUUUAAAUAUCAAGUAACUAUUUUUUUUAAAAUCAACAUACUCGGGUUGAGUUGAGUUGGAGAACGUUUUCAACCCAACCCAUAUUUUCAAGUUGGUUGAAUUGGAACUUAAAUAACCUCAAUUGUAUUUCUAUCCAAUCUCGAGUUAGAUUGAGUUGGCAGGUUGUAUAUAUAUAUAUUUUUUUUUCAUUUUUAAUGUUUGCAAAGUUUAUAAUUGUUGUACCUCGAUAAAUACACACAUCCAAAAAUUUAAACAUCCAUAAAUUCAAAGUUUCAAACAUCCAUAAAAGUUUAACAUUCCAAACAUUAUUCAUAAAUAUUAAAUAAAUAUAUAAACAUUUUUAAAAAUAGCAAAAUAAAUUAAAAUUUUGGAUUCUAUCACGGAUAGUCUUCUAUCACUAUAACAUAUCACUGAUUGAAUUUGCUAUAGGUGGUAAAUAUUUUGUAAAAUCUAUUAUUUUUAAAAAUUUUCCAAAAAUAUAUGAUAUAAAUAAAUUUAAUUUAUAGGGACAUUUUUAAAAAUACUAAAUAAAUUAAAAUAUUUACAAACUAUAACAAAAAAUUUUGGAUUCCAUCAAUGAUAAAAACUGAUAGAUUUUUAUCACCGACUAUAAAUGUUACUAUACAAAAAUAUCAAUGUUUAUCAAAUAUUUGUUGUUGAUAGAAUUAGAAAUUUUGCUAUAGCUUAUAAAUAUUUUGUCAAAUUUGCUAUUUUUGACAAUUUUUUCUCUCUAUAUAUAUAUAUUAUGAGUAAUAAGGGUUGGAUUAGGUUAAAUCGAAUUUUUCAACCUCAAUCCGAGACCCAACCCAACUCGAAAAAAAUCAAAAUUUUCAACCCAAACUUAACUCAUGUAAUAUGGGUUGGGUGUUACGGGUUUCGACUUAUUCAGAUUAUUCUUACACCCCACUUAGGACAUCUUAAACUUACUUUUUAAAAAGGGGCUCUUGCAAAUAUGACAAAAUUAAUUUGAUAAAUUAGGCUUAUACCACACAAAUUGUAAAUUUGUAAAAAUAAGUCCAGUCACAUUUGAGAAAUGCAAAAUUACAAACCUACCCUAUAAAAUUAUAAAUCAUUAGUUUGUUACAUUUAAGUUAGCCACAUUAAACAUUUUUUACAUGUUUCUUCUUCCCUUCAUGUCUCACUAAUACUUCAUCGAUACACAUCAUUUGUUUGAUACAUUUGAUAUGUUGUUGAUACCUUGAUGCAUUUUUUAUACGCUUGUUAUGCUUUGCUAAUACAUCUGAUGAAUUAAUUAAAUAAUACUUGAUACACAUCAUUGGUUUGAAUAUACAUUGGAUAUGUUAUUGAUACAUUUGCUAAACUUUGCAAAUACACUUAAUCAAUUAAAUACACUUGAUGUACUAAGUAUGAUACAUUUAAUAUAUUGUCGGUACACUUAGCUAUUAUGGUUUGUUCAUACAGUACUUGAUGGGUUUAAUACACUACCGAAAAUAUAUUUUAUACUUUACUAAAAUCCUCGACAGAUUUUAUAAAACUAACUUGAUGCAAUUCAUAUGUUUGAUACCCUUGAUGUACUGAUAGUACACUUUCUAUAUUACUAAUACACUCGAUUGAUUAAAUACAUUUGAUACACUUAUGGUUCUGCCGAUACACUUAAUAUAUUUCACUAUUACACUUCGAUACAUAUUAUAUGUUUGAUAUACACUUGAUAUCAUGUUGAUUAUUAUGCAUUAUUUGUAAUAUGAUCAACUUGAUUAAAUGAAUCAAUUUCAAUUUACUUAAAUAGGUUAAUGCUAAAGAGAACCUUGAAAAUAAAGUUCAAUAAGUUGACAACAAUAGAUUCAAUUGUCAACACGAGUUUCAAUACGUAAUAUCAAGUUCACAAAAUAAUCAAACAACAUCACUCCAUCAACCAAAACACAAUUGUUUUGCAAUCCACGUAGUAUGUCACUCAUCCCAUUAACCACUAUGAAACAUAAUUAUUGCAAGCUUAACCAUGACUACGAUCAACUGCAAAAAAUUAAAGAAAAAAAUAGAUAGUAUGUACAUCAGUCAAAUAAUACAUAUAAUAUAAGUGUAUCACAACACUGAUAUACAAAACUGAUGAACAAAAUAAAACCAAAAUAGAACCAACAUAAAAAAAAAAUAAUAAUAAUUAGAAAUUAGAUUUAACUCCAAAAUUCACACCAAAGAAAAUAGAGAAUAAUAACAUAUAAAGUUAAAAUUUUCAUAUCAACAACUAUUAUAUAUCAAAUUUCAACUAACACUACAAGAAAUCGAAGUUUUUUCGAUGAAGAAAAAUGCGUCGGACAAAGGAACAUCGACAAACGGAGUUUCUUCCGACGUAACAAGAAUAAUUUCGAAAGAGGGCCUUUCUCCUGACGCUGCCAAAUGAACAUCGAGCAAAUGUGGCCAAGCCCCAACGUGAUUCAUGUACACAUCGGAACUACCUUAGUUACUGUCGACGUCUACUAUAUGGCAUCGAAAGAGGUGAAAGAAUUAAAUGCAUAAUUGGCUUUCCUCCAACGUGAUGUCGGAGGCAUCAAGAAAAUGGAUUCACAUUCCUAAUGUCAUUAGUUAUAUGUCAGAAAUGAGAGGGUUUCCCUGACACUUUCGAGAUGUGUCGAGUAUUUCCCUUUUAAUAAACUCAUUCUCAUUCAUGAUGUAAAUUACAGAAUUGAAAGAGAAGAAGGAAAACGAGAGAGAGAGAGAGACUAAGAAGAAGAGAUCUUUCAUCGUCCUGUUGUCGUCGAUCCCCGUCGCUCGUUGUCGUUCUAUCAUCGUUGUCUUCUAUCGAUUCUACUAAUUUAGGUAAGUACUUUUGUUUUAUAUUAGUUUAGAUUUAGUUUAUUUUUAUUUAGAUUAUAAAUGAUGAUUUAGGAAUAAGAUUUUGAAUUUGGUUUUAGAUUUGGAUUUUGAAUUAGUUUUUGGAGUUCAAUUUGAAUUUUAUUUGUUUUUGGGAUUCAUGAAUUAGUGUAAAUUUGAGGGGUUGUUGAAUUCAAAGUUUGAAAGAGUGAGGGGUUGAAUGAAUUCAAACCGUAAGGGGGUUAAAUUAAAAAUUGAAAGGGGUUGAAUUGAAAAUUAGAGGGAAAGGUUGAGUUUGGUUGAAUUGAAAUUUUUCACGAGAGUUGGAUUGAAACAGGUGAAUUGAAAUUUUGUAGGAGGGUUGGAUUGAAACUUGGAGAGAGAGAGGGUUUGUAAGAGGGGGUUGAAAGGGAUGAGAGAAGACUGUAUUGAAUUGAAAAUUUUGUUUUGGCUAUUGUGAAGUUAUGAUUACCUUUAUUUCAAACUUGAUUGUUGUUUAUUUUUUAAUAGUUUUGUUUGUUAGAACUAUUAGGAAUUUGUUAUUGAUUUCUUAUGGUUAUUAUGGAGUUAUGGCAACCUCUUCUCUUUAGUGCAAACUUAGUUUUGAAUUUGUUAGAUGAUAGUAGUUUGUUUGGUUAGUUUGUUCUAACUACAGUUAUGGUAGCCUUUGUAGUUUAAACUUAGGUUAAAAGAUUGGGAGGAUUGGAAAUAGCUAUUCAUGAACUAAUUAAAUUUAGGGUUUGAUGGGAGGAAUAUAGGACUAAUGAUCAAACAUAUUAUUUACUUGCGGUACGUAUUUUUGAGCAGUAUCGUUGUUUACGUUGCAUUAUAUAUAUAUCUUUUUUUUUUUUUUUCAUUGUGUAGGUGUGGACUUGUUUAAUUAUGGCAUUCCCAAUUAAGUUAUAUUAAUUUUUUUUAUAUAAUUUUUUAACAAAUUGAGAAGUGUUAGACAAUGUAAUAUUUUUUAAUUACAAUGUAAUUUUGAUUUGGCAUUUUGUAUAUUUAUUUACUAAUUUUGGUUGUUCAUUUUUUUGUAAUUUUAUUGAAUUUAAAUCGAAUUGGAAUUGAACAUAAUAGUGCACAAUCAAAAUAAGAAAUUAAAAAAAAUCCUCAAACCGUUCCCGACGCAAAUAGUGCAUCGGAAAAUAGGUCUUCCCUCCAAAAAUGCAUAAUGACAUCAGAGAUAGUUUUCAUGAUGUAACGUCGGCCAAACUCUUCUCUCGACAUAGAAAUCUACGUCAAGAGAAGAGUUCUCUAUUUCCUGACACGAUUACGUCGUCGGCACAACGUGCCUCGGGUGAAGGGCAUUACCAACGCGUGUUUCUUCUUUCGUCGGGAAUAGAUCUCCUGAUAGGAAUUUUCGACAACCAUUCCUAUGUGGGACAUUACGUCGGGAGACUGUUUGCCGACACAAUUUGUAACCUUACCCGAUGCCAUCUUGCAUCGAAAAACUCCCAACUUGUUGUAACGUAAUGUUGCAUGAGAUUGAAUAAAAAGUUGGCAAAGUAAAUAAAAACUGCUUUCUAUUUUUAAUUUUAAAGAAAAUAGAAAAACACAAAAAUAACAAAUAAUAAAGUAAUAAAAAGAAAAAUGGUAGGAUCCACUAUUCUACAACGUAACUUUUACCAUUUUCUCUUUCUGCACUUCUCCUUUGUUCUUUUCCUUCUUCUUUAUCCUCCCUUUCUUUUCUUCUGCUUCUUUCCUAAACUUCUUGUUUUACCAUCCUUUUGUUAGUAUUACUGUCGUCAAAAUUGGUGCUCCAACACAAAUUCAACAUGCAAGUCUUACACAUCAUUUUGAAACUCCUAUUUUGUCAUGCUUCCAAAUUAAACUUAUUCGUGCUCUCAUUGUUGUCGUCCUUUUUGGUCAAGUUCUCAUCCACAACGUCAAAACAUUUUUCUCACCGUCAAUCGAAUUUAGGGUAAUCAUGGUAUUGAAAACUGUGAUGCUCCAAAAGAAAAAGAAAUGGUAAAAAUGGGAAUUAAAAAUACAAAAGUCUGAAUUUGAUAGAAAAUCACAAACCUUAAACGUUUUUGGCAAAGUACCUAAACUAUUUUGUCAUCCAAUACAAUUUCUCUUUUAAAAACUUGUGUAAACUACCAAGAUAUAAUUAUUAAAAACUCAGGGACGAAACACUCUACUCGUCAAAACAUGGAUACUAAAAAGAUAAUUUUGCUUUAUUUUUCAGGGUUUGUACUAAAGGUUUCUUUUUGUUCUAAUAUAUAUUUUCUUUUUUUAAAAAAAAAACAAUUGAAUAUACAUUUGUAUUAUAUGUUUAAAUGGAACUAAAUCAAUUGAUUUUAACCUGUUCUCUACAAAUUUUAGAAAUAUAAAUUUCUAGUAGUUUUUACAACUGUUUUAUGCCAUUAAAAUUUGAUUAAGCAUUAAAAAACUCAAACACAAAGAACUAAGAGAUCAAAAUAAACAUAAACUUAAGAAACAAGAAAAAAUUAUUAUCAAACAAAGUCCAAUUAAGCACAAUUUGACAUGUGUGCUAAAUCGCCAUGGUUUCUAUUUUUAGAUCUUAAAAAAGCUUAAUAUAAUGUUCAAUAAUUUAAUUUAUUUUCUAAAUAAUGAGAUUAAUUUAAAAAUUAAUUCAAAUAGAGAGAGAGAAGUUGAUGAGACGAGAGAACAAGUCGUUAAUCAUAUACAUACUAAUAACUGUGGUUUGUAAUUAGUUUUUAAUAACAACAAAGAAGAAAAGUUGUGUUAUUUAAUUAAAACUAAUUAAAAGCCACCAGAUAGACGAAUAACCAAAUACAGUGCAGAAUCAUUCUUAAUAUUAUUCUCUGCAAGAGUUUUAUGAUUUUCGAGAACCUUUCCUGCAUAAACAAUAUUUUGACUAUCAGCACGUACUCCAUAUUUAGCUUCUAGUUUAGCCUUCAAACCUUCAAUUGUGGCCGUUGGUUCCAAAUCUAAACUUAAUACUUUCCCAUCGAACGUCUUCACAAAGAUCUGCAUCUGCAUUAUUAUUUUUCAAAUUCACAACACAAAUUAACGUAACUAGGAUCCCAUUUCCUAAUCAAUUUGUCAUUUCAUACUACAGAUCACCAUCAAAGUUGAAAUGGGAUUGUUCCCUUGAAAUGUUAUGAAUUCCAAGUUUUGUUGAUUUUGAUAUGAAGCUUUGAUUAAUUAUUAUUAUUAUUUUACUGGAAGUAGAGAAGUAGCGAGGACGUAUAAUUUUAGUGGAAAUUAUUAUGAGUUUUUGUAUUUAAUGGUCUAUUGUGGAAGAAGACGAUUGAGUGCUUUUUUCAAGAAAAAAGAAAAAUUAACGAAGAAAUGUACAUACACUUCGAUUUUUAUUCUCACCACUUUGGAAAACGAAGUUGUUUAAUUUGGUGUUAAUUAAGAGUCGUUGUUUCUUUGGGUUUCUUUGGGUUGAGUUUCUUCUAAGACGAAGAUUCUCAAACAGCCAUAAAACUCUAAUAAAUUAAUUGAGAAUAAUACUUUUUUUUUUCUUUUAGUUAGUAGUUUGGAUAAUUACAAUAUUCUUAUUAAAAAAUUAAAAUAGAAAAAAUAGAAAAAUUGAACAAAACAUUUACAAAAUUAAAGUGUAAUAGUUUUUCUAAAUGAUGGGUAAUAAUUUGUACUUUUUAUUUUUUUGAAAAAAACUUCAUAUAAAAAAUUAUUAAGAAAAAAUAUGAUAUUUAAUAAAAAGAGAGAUUUGAUUUGAUUUUUUUUGUGCAUAUAAAGAUUAUUUGGAAAAUAGAUUUUUAGGAGAGGAGUUGUCAUAAAUAGAAAAAAAAAUUAAAAAUAUUUCCAAGAUAUAACAAAAAAAAUCUCAAAUGCUCUUUAGAGAAAAAGUUGACAAGAUCAAAAAGUUACAAAAAAGAAGUAGCCAUAAUUUUGAUAGUAAUAAUAAUAAAGAAAACUAAAAUGUGUUAUUUAAUUAAGACUUAAUUAAAAGCCACCACGAGUAAAAAGAAGCAAAAACAAUGCAAGAGUUGGAUGAUCUUGAAGCAUCUGCAUAAACAAGCUUUUGAGAUUCAACACCUAUGUCAUGCUUAGUUUCUAUUUUAGCAUUCAAAUUUAUGCAUUUGUGGCCGUUGAUUCAACAUCUAAAGCUAAUUAUCUUCCUAUCAAAAUGUCGUCACAAAGAUCUACAUCUGCAUUUUUUGAAAAUAAAUUCACAAACACAAAUCAACAUAUCAAGGCUCUAUUUGGUAGUGAUUUGGUUUUUUAGUGUUCAAGAAGAAAUUUGGAGAUGGAAGAGUAAUGGUAUUGAUUAAUUGCUUUUACCAAAAACAAAAUGAUUUUACCAAUUAUGAGCUAAGUUAUUCCCAAUUUUAUGCCUUAUAGAAUCAUCAAAAUUCAAAUGAGAAUGUUUAUACCUUGGGAUGUUAUGAAUUCCAAGUUGUCGAAGGGAUGUUGAUGCAGCUUUAUGAUUUGAUUGAUUUGUAUAUUUGAAUGUAAAGAUUUGAGAACAUUGUAUAUUUAUAGUGGAAAAUACUAUGAGUUUGCAUUAAUGCUUCAUAUGGAUGAAAACGAUGAGUCAUUAAAAAAAAAAACUAAACUUUGAUUUCUAUCCUCAACUCUUGGGAAAAACGAAAAUGUUUGGUGUUAAUGAAAAGUCAUUUCAAUUUUUUUUUCUAGGGAUGAGGAUUCCCAAACAACCAUUAAACUCAAACAAAUUUGUCAAUAAUCAUAUCGAGUUUGGAUAAAUGUAAUAUUAAAAAAUAUAUAUAUAAUAUUUAGGAAAUGAUAAGGGAGAAAAGAUAAAAUGGAUUAACUAUUAAAAAAAAUUGUUUCCCUUCUUCAUUUUCCUUAUUCUAUUUAAGAAUAAUUAUGAACUGAAUAUUUGAGAUAUUAAGAGUCGUACGUUCGAAAAACCAAGAAAACUCAUAUUUCAUCUAUCCUCUUAUAAUCAAUUAGUUUUGAAAUAAAAUUCCAUAUUGUUAAAUUUAACAUAAAGAUAGGUGAACUCAAAGAGGCACUGCUUUGCUACGGAAUCCCAAAAGUUUAAAGUUUAAUUUUAGUAACGAUAAAAAAUAAAUGUUUAUAUGCAAAAUAAUUUAAAAUUUAUACUAACAAUAUUUAUAGUUAGAUCUUAAAUUAUCAUAAAAGACUAUUAAACAUUAUGAAUUAAUUUUAUAAAAAAAUACACAUUUUAAAUCUUUUUUCAGAAAUAUAUUUUAAAAUAAAUUGUACGUUGACUUGAAAUUAUUAAUUUUUUAGUUAAUUGAAACUAAAUAUUUAUUUUAUUUUUUGUCUUAAUUUUUUUAGGAGAAUUUUUAAAAACAGUAGACUUUACAAAAUAUUUACAACCUAUAGCAAAUUAUAUCACUUAUAGUCAUUGAUAUGCAAUAGUGAUAGAAGACUAUUAGUGAUAUUUGUAUUAAUUUUUUUAUGAGAAUUUUUAAAAAUAAUAGAGUUUGCAAAAUAUUUACAACUUAUAGCAUAUUCUAUCACUCGUAGUCAUUGAUAUGCUAUAGUGAUAGAAAACUAUCACUCAUAGGAUCAAAAAUUUUGCUAUAGCUUGUAAAUAUUUUAAUUUAUGUUAGCUAUUUUUAAAAAUAAACCGUAAAUAUAAACAUCUUUGAAUUUGUUCUUAAUUUUCUUUUCUAUCAUCAGGUUUCUUUUAUUCUAAGUAUCUGAAUAUUCUUAUUGAUUUCUGUUUUUGUUAUAUUCAAUCGUUUGAAAUGUGUUGUAAUUGUUCUUUAUGUUCUUGGCAACCAUGGUGAGCUUAGAAGGUAAAGUAUGAUUUUAUUUUAUUUUUGUUUACUUACUGCUUAGUGUGUCUUUGUGGUUUGAAUUUUUUGCAUAUGUUUGUUUGCACACUGCAGCUACAAAAGAGGAGGAAGUUGAAGAAGAUGAUAAAAUGGAUGGUUACCAAAGUAGGAAGUUGAUGACGAUGGGAAGAUAUUUUUAUUUUUAAAAAAUAGAGGAUAUCCUGACGCUAUAUCCCGUGCGUCGGGAUAUCCUCUCUAGACAAAUGUUUUUCGACUUCGAUCCGGCACGAACUUAUGCAUCGAGAAAUCAUUUUCAAAUAUUUUUUCUCUUUCUUCCAACACUUUUGUACGUCGGAAGAUCCUUAUUUUCUUUUCUUGUAGUGUGAAUUGAAAUAAGAAUAAUGUAUAGCUUUGUUUUAAGAGGCAACAGUGAAAAGAAGAUGAUUGUGGAGUUUUGAGAUUGGUUUACUCAUCUCUUUAUUCUCACAAGGAAUUGGUAAGCAAAUCCCGAUUUCCUCCCAAGUUUGCAAUUCUCUCUCAUUUUAUUAUUUUCUAAUGUGACUAUAUAAAUCUACUUGAAAAAAUGCCAAAAGUAAGACAAUUAAUUAGGGGUGUAAAGAGUUUUGAAAUUGCUUUUUGAAAUGUUGAGUUUAAGGACAAAUAUGAGUAUGAAACGUUUAUAUAACCCUUACAUAAAAAACUUAUUUUCUUCUUUUUAUUUUUUUAUUUUUUAAAAUCUUUUUCUGUUUUUAUUUUAUGAAAAAACACAUUUUCUCUCAUCUUUCUCUAACUUAUUUUCUCCCAAAGCUCUCUUACAAUUACUUAGAAUUUUGUGGCUUUAUCUCUUGAAUAAACUCCCUUCUUAUUAAGUGUUUAUGUCAUUUUUUUUCUGAUUAUAGAUAGUCCUCUUAGGUUUUUGAUGUUUCUAACUCAUUUAUUCUCCUCUUACUGAAACAUAUAAAUCUCAAGUAUAACUCAUAGUUAAUUUUAUAAUUGUUCUAGAUAUCUCUAGUUGUUUGAUAUAUAUUUAGAUAAACUUUUUUGGUUAUUUUUUUAUCUUGCAAACAUCUAGCAACUUCCAUAAACUUCAAAUGUUUAAUCCCAAAUCAACUAUAUACUUGUUUCAUGUGAUUUAUGGUGAGUUUACUACACAUGUUUUAAGAAGAUUUUAACUACUAUUUUUGUAUCUUGCAAACAUCUAGCAAACAUCUUUCUUAAAUAUCUCUCUCGCAACUUCCAAACUUCAAAUGUCCAAUUCUAAAACAAUUGUACAUAUACUUUUACACAUCUUUUAGGAAAUUUUUAGCUACCAUUUUUUGUAUCUCACAGACAUCUUGUAAACAUUUCGCAGAUAUCUCGCAAAAUCAUCUCACAACUUCCAAACUUCAAAUGUCUAGUGUCAAAUCAAUUAUAUACUUGUUUUAUGUGAUUAGGGUGAUUCUACAUAUGUGCACUUUUGUUAUUCUUAUAGUUAAUUAUUUUGAUAUAACUAAGAGGAUAUUAUUGAUCAUCACAUUUAUUUCACAAUAUAUACAAUUGAAACAAAAUUCAAUAAAAGCUUAGAUUAUUUUUUUAGGAAACCAACUAGUUAAGAUCAACACCUACAAUUUUUUGUUCUGAACAAAAAAAGACGUUCUUGGUUCUAAUCUCUCCCGUUGAUUGUAUGAAAAAAGAAUGAAUUUCCUAUAAAGUAUAAGAUGUUUGAGAGAGAAAGAAAGAGUUGUUUAGAGGAGUAUAAAAGAACGUAAUUUAACCAAAUUCACAACUAACAUUGUAAUGAUAUCACAUAUAUAGAUAGAUAAUAAAUGUGGGUAUUGGCUUUUAAUAACAAUAAUAAAGAGAUAACAAAAAAAUGUGUUAUUUAAUUAAAACUAAAUCAAAAGCCGCCAUGAGCACGAAAAAUCAAAUACAGUGUAGAAUCAUUCUUAAUUUGAUAAUGUUCAAGAGUCUUAUCAUCUUCAACAGUCUUGCGACCGAAAAUUAGCCUUUGAGAAUAAGAGGCUACUCCAUUAAGAUCUUCAAUUUGAUCCUUCACAUCCACAAUCGUAGCUGUUGGUUCAAUUUCUAAAUUAAAUGUCUCCCCAGCAAACGUCCUUACAAACAUCUGCAAUUGUUAUUAAAAUUUGAACACCGACAAAUUAGUAAAUCAAAUUAAUUCAAAAACUUAAACUUGUAGAUGAAAUUCAAAUGGGUUUACCUUUGAAAUAUUAUGAUACGAUUGAUUUGUGUAGUUUUGUUUGAGUGAUUGAUUUACAAUUGAAAGAGAUGAUAUAUUUAUAGUGGUAAAAGAUAGACAGCGAUAGGUGUUUUUUUCUAGUAAUUAAUUAAUGUUUAUGGAAGAAAACGAUUUGUUUUUAUUUUAUUUUAUUGGGAACUAAUUAACAAAUGUUUAUUUAAGUUCAUAAACGAAAUUGUACAUGACUUUUGGUUUCUCUAACUCUUUGGAAAAUGAAAUUCUUAAUGUGGUGUUAAUUAAGAGUCUAUUGAUUACUACUCUUUUUUGCCAAGGAUUACCAUUUGUAAAAAGUAGUUAACCCAAUACUCUCUAUCAAUACGGCGAUGAUUGGGAAACUUCAAACGAAAAAAGAAAAAGAAAUUAAAAAUUAUCUCACAUUUUAGGCAAUAAGCCUCACCACCUCCCUCUACACAAUCAUACCAAAAACAAUUGCAACUAAACUGAAGUGCACGCUUCCUGGCACCAUCUCUGAAAACCAACUGGCUUUUGUGAAGGAUAAGCAAAUUACUGAUAUCAUUUUAAGGUAUCAGGUGUUACUUCAAAAUUCAAGUUUAGAUGCAUCAAAAUGUCAAAAGAUGUCGAGUAUAUCAAAAGAGUAUCAUGGUUCAUCAAGUGUAUCAAAGUUCAAGGGUUAUCAAAAAGUAGCAAAUGCAUAUCAAGUGUAUGAAGGAAUAUUAUAUGUAUCAAAUGUGUAUUAUGUAUAUUAUGUCAAAUGUAUCAUGGAGUAUUAAGUGUAUCGUAUAUGUAUUAAGUGUACCAAAUGUGUGUUAGUAACGAAUGCAUUUGUGACAUUUUAAAUCUUACAUAUGUAAGUUGAGUUUUGAUUUUGUCAUUUUUACAAAUAACAAAUGUGUGUGCUAUUGACUUAAUUAUAAUUUGUUGUCAUUUUUGCAAUUGCUCCUUUAUAUAUACUAGAUAACUUAAAAUAUGCGUUGAACAUAAAAACCUUGUUAGUAUAUAUUUUUGCUAAAAUGAAUAAAUAGUAUGCAAUGGUAAAUUUUAAAAAAUAGUACUACUGUAUAAAGAUAUACUUAAACGAGUACUUUAUAUACAAUGUUUUUUCUUACAUUUCCAAUAUUUGUAUUCAACCGAAUUUUCAUCAUUUUCAUCGAGAUGCCUUUGAAAAGUGUAACAUAUAAUUGUCGUGUGAGAAGACAUUUUGUGGAAGAUAAAUUCCAACAUGUGGUAUUGUUUGUCCUUGUGCCUUGUUAAAGGUCAUUGCAAAACUAAGGCGUACUGGAAAUUGUUUCCUCUUAAAUUUGAAUGGAUACCCUUCAUCAUUUGCCGGACUUAAAAGUAUAUGCGGUAUGAAGACAUGUUUGCGCCAAUAUGUUGGCCCAUUGCUAUUUCAGCAAAAAUCACAUGUUUUUCAAAGUCUCGACACACCAUUCUUGUCCCACAAAGACCAUUUGAUGGGUCUAAAUUUCUUAGAAGUAUUAUAGGACAAUCUUUAAAAUAAGUUUACGUGGUGGAAGUUCAUUUGGCAAUAAGGAAUUUAGAAAUUCUUGUUGUUAAUCUGAUGAAAAUUGGAGAAAACUCAGGAUUAUAUUCGUAUUGUAAUAAGAAAGGAAAGUAGAAAUUAUUGGUUGUUAAUGACGUCGGCGAUGACAUACAAUGAACUUGGAUAAGAAUGCGGCAAUCGAGGACAUAGGCCAUAGAUAGAGUCCAAGAAAUUCCAAGAACGUGUAGUUAGAAGCUGAAGCGUGGGAUAAAGAAUAUCGAUUUUACUAAAUAAUCAUAAAAAUAAAGAAAAUUCAAAACUUCGAAUUAAAAUCUACUUUAAAAUAUUCAAAGUUUUGAAGACACAAAACAAAGAAAACAUGAUCACUUAAUAGAAAAAAAAGUUUACCUCCACGACUACUUAUUCUAUUUUGGUCUUCCGCGACAGUUAUUUGGUGUCAUAAAAUAUACAAAAAUAAUUUAUUUAAUUUAUUAAAAUAAAAUUUAUUUUAAAUCCAAAGUUUAUUAAAAUCAAAUUUUUUCCUAAUUCUAAAAACAUUAAACAAUUUAUUCAUUAAAAUAAAACAUCUCCAAAACCCUUUCUCUUCUUCUUCUUCUCUUCUUUUUUUUUUCUUCUUCUUGGUGGAAGAUCAACGAGUCGCCCCUCCUUUUAGAUUUUUCCUCCCUUCCGGUAACCAUCUGUCUCCCUCUCUCAUGCACUCUGAAAACGACGAGACUUUUCGUCAAUGACACGCCCGAAAUCCCCCUCUUUCUCUCCUUCAGCCGACGCCACCACCCAACACCCCUUGCAUUGGUGAAUCUCAACUAUUAUUUCUAUUUUAUGUAUUUAUACAGUAUAUUAACUUCAAAUGCUUUUAUUUUACCCUCAAUGUGAUUAAUUGAUGGUUCUAUUUAUGAAAAACAUCCCUCAUAGUUUUGUUUUUAUAGAAGAUGUGUUUGUUUUGUCUACCAUCAUAUUAAAUAUUGUUGUUUAUGUUCAUUUUUCUAAUUUGAAUCUAAUUUUUUUCUUUAUGGUUGGCUAUGUGAUGAAGCAUUCUGGUAGCUUACAAUGUGUUUGAUGAAAUGCCUCAAUGAAGCAUUUGGUUGAUUUUUAAUUGAUUUUUGUUUGUUCUAAUUAGCAAAUCAAGGCCAAGGGAGAUUUCAUGGCUAUGGGCUCAAGCUUUGAGAAAAAGAGAAUGAAAAAUAAAAUGUGAGAUUUUAAACUUUUAUGGUGUAUAGGGUCUUUUUGUUUGUCUAUGAAUUUUCCAAGUGAAUUUAAGUACUCUUGAUUUUUCUAUUGAUAUUUUGUUUAUGGUUGCUAUUCAGUUCUAUUCUAAUUGCAUGAUAUUUAUAGUAUAAACAAACUGUAUAUAUAAACUUGAACACAAGUACUUUUAUCUAACUCAUUACUAAAUUAUUGUAAUUUGGUUACUCUUGAUUUACUAAUGAUUGAAAGAUUAAAAAAAGUUAUGAACAUUUUCACUAUGAUCCUACUCCUCUUAGAUAGAGAGGAGGAUGAUAUUUGUGAGGUAAGACAUUUGCUAUUAAACCUAAAUGCAUCAUUGGAUUCCAUUUUUCAUUGUUAUUAUCUUUGAAAAAGAAGCAUAACCUUCACUCUCUUUUUCUUUUUGUCUAUAUUAUGAUCUUGCAAUCUUGGAAGCAUUAGGGUUUCUUUUAUAAUAUAAAAUUCUUUUAUUUUAUUUGGAUUGAAAUUAUGUCUUGCUUUGAUUGAAGGAUAGAGGAAGUGAUUAUUGAUAAUUAUAGGUAUGUUCUCUCUCCAUUUCUUACAAUAAGGAUAGUAGCAACAAAAAUUACUACAUGUUCUUCUAUAUUAAAAGGAAAGACAAAAAAAAAAAAAAAAAAUCAAAAGGUGGUAAAUUAAGAUUUAUUUUGUAUGGUAGAAUUUUAUUUGCCACUUAUCAUGCUAGAUCUUUCCAAGAGGAGUAAAUUUGAAAAUUUUGAAAUACACCACUGCUUGAAACAUAAAUCGCGGUGUAUGUUAUACACAUUGGAAAUGGAUGUUUAUCCUCUGUAAUGAAAUUUUGUUUAUGAUUUUUUUUGGAUUUAUUAGGAAGUAGAAGUUAAUCUUUUCUUGCAGACAAAAAAAAGAUAUAUCCAAUGGUAAACUAGUUUUUGGAUAUCUCCCAUUUGAAGUUACUUUAAACUUGCAAGAUAAGAGGAGGUGUUUAUGUACUUGCUUAUAACUUCAGUUUCAGUUCCGUGUCUUUACCUUUUUUCUGUUUAUUAAUCCCCUUUUUCACCUUCAAAACCAUAACAUAGCGACACACACGCAGUACCUAAAGUAAAGUUCAAAUAAGUCUAAGCAUGUGUUACCUAUAGUAGUAUAUAAUGUGUUCAAAUAAUUUAUGGCUAAUUAGAGGAAGUUUUUGUAGCAUUGAGGUGAGGUACUAAAUCGAUUAAGGUGAGAGAGAGACAACCGUCAAAGGAGAGAGGGGGGGAGCCAGGAAUGAAAGAAAAAGAGAGAAAUUCACAUGAAUAUUUCCAACAGUUUUUGUGGAAAUUAAACUCCAUAGGAAAGCAUUAUCUAAAUUGGUUUGGUGAUCUCUUUUAGUUGCUUAUUAUAGUUUUACUGUGGAGACCAAAAUUUGAUGUCUUGAAUAAAUAUAAAACGAUUCUCAUUUCUAUUUUGUGAUUAGCUAGUUGAGCUUAUUUCAAUAGUUAUCAAUUAAGAAGUAUGGUUGUUGUUGAAAAAUUAGUCCUUUAACUGUAUGAAACUAUAUUUUCUUCCUAUGACUACCUUAUGACAUUUUGAAUAAUUGAGAAUUGAGGAUUAGCAGAAAGUUCUCUUACUUCAAUAUAUUUGAAUAUGAAUGUGUAAAGCAGAUUUCAUAGUUCUUGUACAUAAAGUAAAGCAACACAGAGGUAAGUUCAUAGUUAUUGUAUCACAUUUAUAUAUAUGUGAUUGGCUUAUAAUUAAAUAAAUAUGAAUGUGUGUAUUUAUUUUUUUUUCUUAGGAAGAGUUCGAUAUUUUUUAAGUAAAAGUUCAUGUUCAUGGAAACCUUUUGUUUGGGGACCUACAACUCGUAGGAAUUGCUGCAAUUCGACCCUCCUAUCAAUAACCCACAAGCUUGUCGAUAUCCAAUGCAUAAUUGUUUGGGAUUCUACCUUGGUAUGUUACUUGUAAUUAUAUUUUUCAUUUUUAAAAAUCUGUAAGUUCAUGUUUGAUAUAAAACUUUGUAUGUAUAUAAUUUGUAUGUGUAUAAAACUUUGUAUGUAUAUAAUUGGUAUGCACAACCAUUUUAUUUUUUGAGAUCUAGAUAAUGUUUUGGAGAUGGUUUUGUUGGUAGAGGAUUGAUUCUAUUGGGCGGUGUUUCAUAAUGUUUUGAGAAGUUCUUUGUAUAUUGUACUGAAUUAUGCCUAGAUAAAUUGAAUUUGAUUAUAGUUUCUGCAAGUUUUACUUCUUGUGGACAUGUAAAAUUAUGCUUAGGUAUUUUAAUGCAUUAUUUUAAAUCUUUGCCUAGAGUUUUUGCUAUGAUUCAAUAUGGAUUGUUGCAAAGGCAGUGGAUAAGUUUCAUUAUUAUGUUAUUGAACUCCAUGAACAGCGAAUGUUGUUAGACUUAUAUUGGAAAGUUUCAAAACUUUAUUUCUCUCUUUUUCAUCGGCUUGCAACCCUUAAUAUGUAAAUUUGAAAAAACAUUUUGUAGGUAGUUUUCUUCAUGUUUUCAUGAUUGGGAAGGUUUGACUGAUAGUGUAGACUAUGCUUGUAGAAUAAAAUUUGUGUUGUAUAUAACUCUUUGGUCGUAUAUAUAUAUAGAGAUAGACAUAUAGAUAUUACUAUAUGAUUGAAUUUAUUUAUACUUACCAUAUGUUCUCAUGUUAAUAUGAAUUUAUGCAUGUAACACUUAAAAUUCUUAUUCAUAUGCAUGCUCUUUCAUUUUUUCUAACUUUUCAUUGGUUGGUGACAAGGAAGAAAAAUAAUGUUCAAGGAUUGAAUCUCUGAAAGGGGACAAAAUAAGUAAAACACCCAAAGAAACAAUAGAACAAAAAAAAAUACAAGAGCCUAAGAAAUAAAUAGAGGAACCAAAAACAACAAACCAAAAAAAAAUCAAGCCUUUGAAAAUUCAAAGACAACAAUGAAGACAAAAGCUUUUUAUUUAUUUAUUUUUAUUUUUAUAAUGAGAGCAAUGUCAUUGACAGAUGAAUAAAAUAAGAGAGAACAAACUCAUUCAAUUGUUUCAAGCUCAGUUAGGUUACAUACUUGCCACAUUAUGAUUUGAGUGCAAAGCAAGAUGAGAAAGUCAACAUGAUAGCAACAAGGCCACAAAACCAACCCAAUGAUGAGUGACUUUUACAACAAGAUCUUGGUGGGUGACUUCAUCAAGAUUGGAAAUCUUUUUCAUAAACACCAACAUUAUAAGAGAUAGAUUACACUAAAAAAGAAUUCUUAUAUAUGUGAUAAUAAGGUAGCUCUUUUGUAACCUUGUCAUGCAUGUAAUGUUAUCGAUGCAUGUAGUGAUAGUUAAGGCUCAAUGUUGAAAUUUUCUAUAGGAGUUGUACUCUCUUUUCCUGUGAUUGAUGCUUAUAUUCAUGUUGUCUUUGUAGAUUCAACCGAAGUCUACAACUUCAUGAGUUUCCUUUCAAAGAAUAUUUUCAGAGAUGAAGGCUUACUAGUUGAUCGUUUAUGCUUGUUGAGAAAAUCUUGUUAUAUGUAUUCUUAUGCUCUUUACAAUGAUUUUGAUUAAGGACUAGAAUUAUGUACUAGUAAAUUGUAGAAACUUGAUUAGAAAUGUAUGAAUAUUACAAAGUGUAUUAUAGCUUAUAUAUGUCGUCAAUAGCGAAACAAUGCCAUUUAAAUUUUCAGAAAAACUGUCAUGAUUGCACUAUAUUUGACUGGAAAUAAUUAUCGUCAAUAUUAAAACAAUGACAUUUUUAUAAGAAAAACUGUCACGAUUGCCCUAUAUUUGACAGGAAAAAAAAUGUCGUCAAUAGCAAAACAAUGACAUUUAAUUUCUAAAAAAAAACUGUCACAAUUGACAUAUUCUUGACAUUUAAAAAAUGUCAUAAUAAACGAAUUUGCGACAUUUUUAAAUUGUUGUUAAUACGCAAAUGAUGACAGUUACUUGUUGUCAUAAUAUAAAAUAUGACAGUUAUUUGUUGUCAUAAAAUAGUAAUUAACGACAUUUAUUUUCUGUCAUUAAAAAACUUAUUGCCAUAGUUUUAGAAAACUGUCCUGGAAUGACUUUCCAUGACUCCGCUUUUAUGACUGUAAAUAACUGUCACGAAUUUUAAUCGUGACAGAAAAUAACUGUCGUCGUAGACCACUUUUCUUGUAGUGGAUAUAUAAGAAAUUAAGAGGUAAUUGACGUUGACUACAAAACAUAAAAAAUACUAAUUAACAGCCACAUAAUCGAAGGGAAGCAAGAAUAGUAGAACCAUCUGUUAUGUUAUAGUCUGAUAGACUUAGACUUCUUCCAUCUUCAAGCAUCUUUCCAGCAUAAAUGAAUCUGAUAUUGCUUGGAAGAUAUCCUUCCUUUUCAUAGAGUUUAACUUUCAAUCCGUCAGUUCUGAUGAAAAUGGAAACCUUGAUUGCUAUUGUAUUGCCGUUCGUUAAUUUCACGAAGAUUUCAGUUGGCUCUGGCCAAAGCUUUCUCCUCAACCACCUGCUUCGUAAGUUUGCAUUCAUAGCAAUAAACAUUUCGGCAUUCUUUCCCUUCUCAAGAAAAUCAAAGACUUCAAAAAGAAGGUCUUCGUCAGAUGCCGGAUAAUGCUUGCACAGCUUCAAUGGCUGCUAAUAUAGUUGGCAUAUCGACAUUAUUGUUCGAUGAAGUAUAUUGAUCAGUUGCCAUGACUUAAUCUUCUUCUUCAAUUCCACUUUUUAGUAUUCUUUUAUUUGUUUAAAAUUUAUGAGAGAGGAAGGGUUAGGAAAGAGGAUGUAAGAGAUAUGAUAUAUAAAGAGGAAAGAGAGAGUGGGAAGAUGAGGGGUCAAAGAAAUGGGAAGAAGUGUCUUGAUGCAUGGCGUUAAACAACAUUCAAUAAGCACUGUUUUUAAUUUUUUUUUUGAAGUAAUAUCAAUAUUAAGAAGUCCAUGAGUCUUUAGUACUUGACUUCUCUCUUCCCUUGGGUUUCUUUUGAUUAAGUCCAUUAUAUUAAUUGAAAUAAUUCACAAAUUUCAAGUUAAGUAGAUUAUUUUUUAUAAGAAUUUGAAAAAAAAGGAAUUCUUAUAUGUAAUUACAAUUUUUGAAACUAGGGUUCACGGACUCAAAACUAGUUUGAAUGCAAUAUUUUCACUGAGUGUAAUUAGUAAAUAUUUGACAUGAUACAAAGUCAUUCAAAAAUAGUGCCUUAGGCCAUGUUUCAAGUUAAUUUAUAACAAAUAUGAGAUUUUUUAAUAUUUUAAUUUAAAUGUCAUUGAAUUUUUUUUUAAAAGUUCUUCAAAUGAAAAUAAAAAUUGGACAUUUUUAAAAAUAGUAAAAUAAAUUAAAAUAUUUACAAGAUAUAACAAAAUUUUGGAUUGUAUCUCUAUAAUAUAUCAAUUCUCAUCGUGAUAGAAUUUAGGUUAUAAAUAUUUUGUAAAAUUUAAUACUUUCAAAAAAUUUCCUUUAUUUAAUUUAAUUUAAAUAAUUAAUAAUUAUGUAUAUUGGUGUGUUUUAAAAUUUAAUUAUAUGUCAAACAUAUUCAAAUCUUUAUGCUUUUGCCAUUUAUUUUCUUCAAGUUUUAGUGUGGAGGGGAUUCAUAUUUUUCAUAUACAAAAAAUGAUAAAACAAAUAUGAAAAAUAAAAGUUAUAACGUGUUUAUUUAUUUUUAUUCUUUGAAUCAAAAUGUACCAUUUUUUAAUUUUUAUUUGCGUAAUAAAAGAAAUUCUUUUUAUUUACAUAUAUAAAGAAAUUCUAUAUUUAUUCGCUUAAAACAAUAAGAAAUUACACUACCUAUUUUGAUUAAAAAAAUCUUAUUUAAUACAUAAAAUUAUAAACAAAUUUUUAAUCUUUUUUAGUUAAACCAACUUAAACUAUUUCAACGAAUAAUUUAUUUGACUUGUUAUCCAAAAAAUUAUAGUAAUAAUUUUAAAAUGGAAAUGAAAGUAUUAAACUAAAAUAAAUAAAUAAAAUCUCAAUUUACUCUACAUGUUAAGCCCAUGGUUUUACAUCAUGAGCCAAACAUGUGCUUGGCAUUAAAUGCCAAACCCACGUGAUGCCAUGCCAAGGGGUCAAACACCCUCUGAGAGGGUGAGACCCUAUGUUUAAGUCACAUAGAUAUCAUUUAAGUAAACACUCAACUACUUAUCAUAAAGUCGAAAAUGAGUGAAUUUCAUCUUUGUGUGAUUACGUUUGCAGUUUCCCACUCAGUCGUGUCUCCAAAAUGAUAAGCACAUUGAGUUGGCAAACUGGUCACUCUCAUUUGUACAAAUCAAAGGAUAAUCUCUGGCAAACAAGAGUUCAUAAUACACUUAAUAUUAAGACAAAUUUACCUAGGUCAUUCUAAUGAAAUAGAAACUUAACAAGUUAAGAAAGUUACAUCUAAUGGUUACUAUUUAAUGGUACAGUCUUAUGCAAACACAUUUCAUAGAAUACCUUCACUCGCAUGUCACCUACAUAAAUGUUUUGGAUUAUUACAUUUGUAUCAAAUACAAAGUGAGUCGUAUCCAUAGUAAACGGUUAAAUUUCAGAUCAACUUGAAGAAUAAUAGAUCUUAAAGUGGCAUUAUAAAUAAAAAUGGUAAAAUCAUUUCUUUAAUAAUUAUGGAAGUACAUACAAAAUAUAAUACUCAAAAUUCUAUAAAAAGAUGUCUCCAAGACCCAAACAAUAAAAAAGAAUAACAGUAAUUAUGUUGUAAUGAAAAGAUAGGAGAAUUGUUGGGAAUCACCCAUCCAAAUUUUCACUUUACAAAAUUAGCAUUUCCUUUAGAAAAAAAGCUAGUUAAAAUAAUUUUUUCUAUAGAUGCAUCCGAACCCAAGAUCAACCCUCAAAUUUAGUUUAAAAGUUUACUUUUUCUAACUUAUCGAUUGUUUUAGAUCUUCUCAAUACAUUUUGUCAAUACUCUCAUUCUAAAUGUUAGUACGAACCAACAUUUGUUAUGUAAUAUCUUUUAUAUUUUUCAAAAUAUAAAAAUGAUACAAUAAUCAUCCUGAAUUACUUUUGGUAGUUGGAAGACCUAGAUUGGAAUUGAAGAAAUUCAUACCAUUAUGAAAAAGUAUUUACGCUAAAGAUUUUAAGAAUUACAUAAUACAUAGUUUGGAUAUAACAUUUAAAAAGUUGUAUGUUAUUGUGAUUUUGCUGCUAAGAGUAUUAUGUGCAUUCACAACAAAAGGAAGAACAAAUUAUUAUUGGAGAGUAAUAUUAGAAAAUACAAAUGAAAGGUAUCAAUGAGAUAUGGCAUUUACAAAUGACAUGACUUUGUCUUUGUUUGUUAAACUUUAGGUCCAAAAAUUCUUUAAUUUGGCUAACUUUAAUUUUAUAGUUACUAAGUGUUUUUAUUUCCCAUCUUUUAAGAAAGAAAUUUGUUCGAUAAUUUUUGUUUUUUGUUUCUAAUUUCAUAAAUGUUUCUUCGAUGGUAAACAAGACGUUCGACUUAAUUAAUUAAUUUAUUUUUGUUUCUAAUUUCAUAAAUGUUUCUUCUUUCUUCCGAUUUAUUAUUCUCUUCUUCAUAUUAUUAAUUUGUUCAUACUACUACUUCUUCAUAUUUCCACUUCUGGUUUACAAUUUCUUCAUUUCCUCUUCCAGAAUUUCUUUUUCCUUAUUCAUCUCCCAUCUUCUUUUUUCUUUCUUGGUAUAAGAUCUAAAUGAUCUAAAAAUCGUGUACCAAUUUCUAAACGAUCAGUUGUCUAUCACAGAUAAACAGAGAUAAAUCACUAUCACUAAUAGAUCGUUUAGCUUUGGUACAAGAUCAUUUAGGCUAAGUACAAGAUCGUUUAGGCUUGGUACAAGAUCGUUUAGACUUGGUAUAAGGGUACAAGAUCGUUUAAAUUGAAUACAAGAUCGUUUAGAGUAAGUAUAAAAUCGUUAUUUCAUGUGUGUGUGUGACCACUUAAUUGCGAGGUAGUUUUGUUAUUUCAAGUGGUGGACUUUUGGAUUUUUUUUCAAAAAUAAAACAAAAAGCAAAAAUAUUUACACCAUACAAAAUUUUGAACAAGAAAAAAAUCCACAAGCCCACAACGUGAGAUAACAAAAAUAUCCCUGCAAUUAAUUGAUCACACACGUAUGAAAAACGAUUUUAUACCCAGUUUAAACAAUCUUGUAGCAAGUAUAAAUUAUGAUCUUGUACCCAGUCUAACGAUAUCUUGUAUCUAAACAUAAUCUUGUAUCACACCUUAAUGGUCUUGUAUCAUUGUACCUAGUCUAAACGAUCUUGUACGCACUCUAAACAUAACCUUGUACCAAACCUAAAUGAUCUUGUACCCUUGUACCCACUAUAAACGAUCUUAUUCCUUUAUAUCCAAUAUAAAUGAUCUUGUACCCUUGUACCUAAUCUAAACGAUCGUGUACCAAGUCUAAACAUAAUCUUGUACCAAACCUAAACGAUUUUAUACCCUUGUACCCAGCCUAAAUGAUCUUGUACUCUUGUACCCUAGUCUAAACGAUCUUGUACCCAGUCUAAACAAUCUUGUUCCAAAUCGAAACGAUCUUGUACCCUUGUACUCGGCCUAAACGAACUUGUACCCUUGUACCUAGUCUAAACAAUCGUGUACCCAAAUCUAAAUAUAAUCUUGUACUAAACCUAAAUGAUCUUGUACCCUUGUACCCAACCUAAGCAAUCUUGUACCUAGUCUAAACGAUCUGUUACCUAGUCUAGAAAAUCUUGUACAAAACUUAAACGAUCUUGUACCCAUGUGCCUAGUCUAAACGAUCUUGUGCCUAGACUAAACAAUAUCGUACCAAGCCUAAACAAUCUUAUACCCUUGUACCCAACCUAAACGAUCUUGUACCCUUGCACUCAACCUAAAUAAACUUAAUUGUACUCUUGUAUCUAGUAUAAACAAUCUUGUACCCAGUCUACGCGAUCUUAUACUAAAUUUAAACAAUCUUGUACUCAAUUUAAACUAUCUUGUAUUAAAUCUAAACGAUCUAUUAGUAAUAGUGGCCUAUCUCUAUCUAUAUCGGGGAUAGACAACUUAUCGUUUAGAUCUUGUACCAAUAUUAUUUAAAUUUUGUUCCAAGAAGAAAAAAAUAAAAUAAGAGAUGAAGAAGAAGGAAGAAAUUCUCGAACCGAAAAUUUAGAAAUCACGAACAAAAAAAGUAAGAAUAUGAAAAAUGAGAAGAAAUAAUAUGAAGAAAUUAUGAUAAAUAAAUCGCAAAAAAGAAGAAAAAAUGUUAAGUGAAGAAUUAUCCCACAAUAUUUAGAACCAACAAGAGAUAAGUUUGGAAAUUUAUGAAAAAACAAUAGUAGCUUCAUGGACUUUAAUUUUUUGUUACAUGGAUCGUAAAUAUAUUUUGAAUUUUGUUACAUUUAUAUAAAUUAACUUAAAGUGUACUAUCAUCGAAAUUCAAAAACUAAAUGAGGAAACUAAAGAGGUUUCUAAAACUUAUGUACCAAGUUUACAUAUUGACCGAAAUUUAAAAAUAAGAAAGUAUUUUACCCUUUAUAAUCGAUAGAUUUUGUUAUAUUUAACAUUUUCUAAAAUGUUGCUAUUUAUAAAAUUGAUAUUCCAUUAUAAUUAUCCUAAUUCUCACUACAAAAUUUGCAAAUUGAAUCCAUAUAUGGUUGGAAGAAAAUGAUAAGUUCUAAAUGAUGUAGAUAGUAUUGUUUUGAUUUAGAAGUACAUUGGGCGUAUGUAUUUUGUACCACCCAACUAAGGUAACCAACAUAUUAUAGAAAGGUACGUAUUGUUACCACAUUUAAAACACUCCAAUCCUACCAUUAUGGAAGCCAUUUUUACAUUAACACACGCGUCGAGAGAAACAGAAAUAAUCGGCCUCAGUUGAACGCAACAAUUUCCCAACAACAAACAAAACUGGGUUUCACACGUUGGCUUCUCACAACAUUAUAUUUGCUCGAAAACGACCACGUACCCACCCCAAACUAAAUCAAUUAGCCAUUUGCAUUCAAAAUCCUGCUUCCAACUCCAAUCUAAUGACACAUGCUAUUUCCCAUUCAUUUGCAUGCCUAACCCAUACGUGGAACUUCAACCAAAACUGAUCACGAAGCUCCACCAUUACUGUACUUUCACAAGCUUCAAAACCCCACAACAGAUUCCCUCUCUCCACGUUCCCUACAUGCACCCACUCCUCAUCCCCUAUAAAUACAAAUCACAUUCACCACUCACUUAUUCACUCAACUUCUUCAAUACACUCCUCUUUUUACUUCAUACAACUCUUCAACAAUGGCGAGACUCACAAGCAUCAUUGCCCUCUUGGCGUUGGCUUUGGUGAUUGCAGAUGCUCACCGCACCACCAUCACCACCGUCGAAGUGGACGAAGAAAACCCAGGGCGGAUGGAGAGGUGCCGUCAGAUGCGGGCGCGCGAGGAGAUCGGCAGCUGCGGGCAGUACCUGUCGCAGCAGAGCAGGUAUGUUUUGCAGAUGCGUGGAAUCGACAACCAAAGGAGGAGAGGAGGACAGCUCUUCGAUGAGUGCUGCAGUGAGCUCACGAAUGUGGAAGAGGAGUGCAGGUGCGAACUCUUGCAGGAGAUUGCCAUGGAAGAACAGAGAAGAGCACGAGGCCAAGAAAGAACGCAGAUGCUUCAGACAGCUAAGAACUUACCAUCCAUGUGCGGUAUGCGCCCACAACAAUGCUACUUCUAAGCGCUUAAGCUACGCACGCCACCCCAAUAAACAACAGGAGAGCAGUACAUCGUCGUGUGCUUUUUGUCUUUAUGUUAAAAUAAAUAAAAAAGACUAGUAAAUUCAGUCAAUCUCAAUCGCACUAUUUCUCUCUCUGCUACUUAUAUUAAAUAAAAAGAGCUACGGUUUUUGAGUGGAACUUGUUUAUGUAAUGAAUUGAGAAUAAUCAUAAGCCGGAAAGAAGCAGAUAGAACUUAGUAUUAUUUGUAAAUUGAGUUGUAGAACAGAGAAGAUUAGACUAGAAUACAAGCAACAUGAAGAGAAAACAGAGAACAUAAGCAUGUUGAAAUGAUGAGUUUCAAAUACCACCACGAAGACGAAGGACAAGGUGGAGGGUGGACUCCUUUUGAAUGUUGUAAUCGGCCAGUGUACGUCCAUCCUCCAAUUGCUUUCCAGCGAAAAUUAGUCUUUGCUGGUCAGGAGGGAUACCCUCCUUGUCCUGGAUUUUAGCCUUAACGUUAUCAAUGGUGUCUGAGCUCUCAACCUCCAAUGUGAUGGUCUUUCCUGUCAAGGUCUUCACAAAUAUUUGCAUUCCUCCACGAAGACGCAACAACACGCGGAGAUCUGAUUCCGUUUGAAUGUUAUAGUCGGCUAUAGUCUUACUAUCUUCCAAUUGCCUACCAGCUAAAAUUAAUCUCUGUUGGUAUGGUGGGAUGCCCUCUAUAUCUUGAAUCUUAGCCUUUACAUUUUCGAUAGUAUCAGAAUUUUCAACCUCAAGGGUUAGUGUCUUUCUGUGGAGAGUUUUCACAAAGAUUUGCAUCUGUCAUAACCCCAGUCAAACGAAGUCAAUUAACAAUUGAAUAUAGGUCACGUAAUCAAGAUUACUCUGGAAAAACGUUACUCAGGUACCAAAUCAUAUUUCCUACAAUGCAAUCUAAAUCGAAAAUAUCGCCAUCAAAGACGUCUGUCGAAGAACAUAAUUCUAGUAACCAGAUUCAGUGCAUGUAUAAAUAAUCUUGAAGAAAAAAAAAAAUCAUGAUAACCAAAACAUAGUUGUUUUUUUUUUUAAUUUUUAAUUUCUAAAAAAAUUAAUGAUGCGUGGAGGAUUAUCCCCUUGAAAAUUUAGAAAAUAUUACUUUUAUCAUUUGUAGAUACCGUAUUUUGUCCUAUAUUUAUUUAUUAUAAAAGAAAAAAAAAGAAAAAGAAAUUAAAUUUGAAUUUGAAUUUGAAUUUGAAUCUUAAAUUUAUAUUUUAAAAAACAAUAAUAAUAAUAAUAAAUACAUUUAAAAAUAAAUAAUAAAAAUAAAAAUAAAAUGUUUGAUUUUCCUUCCUAUUUUUUCUCAACCAUCCCUUUUUCUUCGUCAUCACUCUCCACUUUCUCCCACUCUAUCACUUUCUCCCACUCUCCCACUUUCUUCCUAUUUCUCUGUAGUCUGCACUCCAUCUCGUGAUCUAAAAAAAACGAUGGAGCUUGCCCUAUAAAAAGGAAAGAGGAAAAAAGAAAAGGGGAUCUUUUUUUCUUAUUAUUGGAGGAUUUAGAAAGAGGGGAAGAGUGAAAGAAGAUCAAAAAGGAAUAACCUUUGGCAUUGAAGGGCAGACCUGCUGGUAAAUUUUUUCUUCUUUUUCCUCUUUUUAUUCUUAUUCUUGUUUAAUGAUUUUUUUUUCUUCUUGUUUGAUAUACUGCUUUUAAUUAUGAACUAUCGUGUUCAUCAUUUUACCAUCAUUUAACAUGUUAAUUUUAUUAUUUGUAUCUUUCUUAAUACUGAGCAUUCUACCUUCCAUUCUAUAUUAAAUUUUUUAUUUUUUAUUUUUAAAUAUUGAACAUUCUGUUCUGUGUUAAUUUCUUUUUAAUUGUUGGGUAUCCAUUCUGUGUAUCCAUUAUGUAUAUCCAUUCUGUGUUAAUUUUUAAAUAUUGAACAUUUUGUUCUGUGUUAAUUUCUUUUUAAUUGUUGGGUAUCCAUUCUGUGUAUCCAUUAUGUAUAUCCAUUCUGUGUUAAUUUUUAAAUAUUGAGCAUUCUGUUAUGUGUUAAUUUUCUUUUAUUACUGGGCAUCCAUUCUGUGUUAAUUUCUUUUUAAUUAAUUAGCAUCAUAUAUUUGUAUUUGGAUACUCAUUCUUCAUUGGCAUCCAUUUUACAGUUUUUGUUAAUUACUUUAUCCAUGUAUCCAUAUGGCAUACUCUGUUAAUAAUUACUGUUAUCCAUAUAUUAUCCAUGUUAAUAAUUAUGCAUGAUAUAAUUAAAUUUUGGCAACAACCAUUUUUCAUUUGGCCUAUUAAUUAAUUAGCAACUUGUAUGUGACAUUUUCACUCCCUCAUUCUAAUUAUUUGCAUGAUGUAUUAAUUAAUCAGUAUGCAUAUGUGGCUAUAAUUAUUUGAUAUUUAUUUUGGUGUGAUUAUUUAUUUCGCAAUAUUAUUUAUUUGCAUAUUGGGCCAAACCUACUUUAGCAUUCAACUGUUAAUUAUUAUUUGAUAUCCAUUUGGCCUCGUUUAAUUAUGCAUUAAUCAAUUAUUUUGCAUCCUGCAUUAAUCAAUUAUUUUGCAUCAUUUUGAAUUAAUUAAUUAUGUUGCAUGUGUUGUAUUAAUUAAUUAUCUUGCAUCCUACAUUAAUAUCUUUUACAUUUUGCAUAUAUUAUCAAUGUAUUUAUUUUAUCUCAGCAUAUUACUUCUAAGUAUUUUUCAAAUUUCAUAAUGUUUUGCCAUUGUUAUUAUUUUUUUUAUAAUAAUGUAAAUUGGAGAAAAAGUAUUGUUUUUUAUGGAUUUUAUAAUUUAAAAUCCAUAAAUACAUGAAAUUUUUCCGUUUGAAAUUUAAUUAAUAGAUUUUUUUUUUUAAAUUAACACAUUUCAUAUUUUAAAUGAGACUGAGUAGUAUUUUCUAUGAAUUUAUUAAUUCUAGAUAUAUGAAAUUUUUCAUUAAACACCUAUGAUAGAGAUUAAAAUAUCAAGUGUUGGUAUCUUAAUAUUCUUAAGGUGAAUAAAAAUAUUUUAAAACAAAAAUAAACUUAAUUUUUCUAAUGGCUCCUAUGCCACUCAUAAUCAUCAAUUCAUGCUUAGGUUUUACUUUCUUCGAUAUGAAUUGAUAAACAUGGGACAUUUAAACAAAACCUAAAUAAAAAUUUUAUUUUGUGAACCUCUAUAAUUUAAUUUAAAAGAUAAAAUUGGGUAACCAUUUUUUGGGUGUUGUAGGGUGCUAACACCUUCCCUACACACAACUGACUCCCGAACUUAAAUCUCUGAAUGUACGCAGACCAUUUUUUUUUUUUUUUUUGGGUGACCAAUCACACCCUAAUAUGGUUGGUGGCGACUCCAAAACUAUUUAUUAAAAUUAAAUAAACGGGGAGGUCGGCCGCUCCGCGUAGCGAUCACGUCGCGACAGCUUGGCGACUCCACUGGGGACAUUGCAAUGUGUAAGAGAGUCAAGCCAGUACAUUUUUAUCUUUUAUUCUUAUUAUAUUAUAAUAUGUUGGUUCACUUAAUUAUUUUUUUUUUUAUUGAUUCAUAUGUAAUAUUUUGUACUAUGUUAUUGGUACAUUUUUUUUCCAACAUGCAUUUACACACACUCACAAGCCCUCUACCCGGGCUACAACCUUAUAGGACUAGAAUUGAGGAUGGAGUAGUGUUGACCUUCGAGGGGUUUCGACUCCCGUGUAGGCACAUGAAAAAUCCUCGCUCAGAUUAAUUCUUUUGUUAUUUCUUAAAUAACAUUAGAAUAAGUUUGAAGACCUUUAAUUUCUAAGAGUUUAGAUGAUACCAACACCAUGUCAGUUUCUUUUUGACAUAUUUUAUCCAAAAGUCAAAUAUUCAAAUUAUUUUUAUUUAUUUAUUUUAACAAAGUUUCACAUUUUCCUAAAAUUUUAAAUAAUACAUAUUUCAUUUAAAAAAAAGAAUUUCAAUAACAGUAUUUUCUAUAUUAUUAUUAUUUUGAGUUUGAUAUUUAAAUUUUAUUUAUCUUAGUUCCCUAGAAAUUGGGUCAUUUGGCUUCAUGCAAUACUUUAAAGAAAGUAAUGUUUACAUUGUAGAGGUACAUGAAAACCUUUAUAUAUUCUAAAAUUAACUAAAUAUUAAAAAACAAUUAAGCUAAAGUACAUAAAAUUCUUAUUUCUUUUCUUUUCAUGUUUUUUCUUUUUUUUUUUUUUUGAUUUUUGAUUUUUGAUUUUUGAUUUUUAAUUUUUAAUUUUUUAAUUUUUAAUUUUUAAUUUUUAAUUUUUUAAUUUUUUUUCUUUCUCUUUCUUCCCUUGCUCUUUAGUCUUCAAAGUUUUCAAAAUAAUCAAAGUAAAACAUAGCUCACCCUACUCCAAUUCAUCAUCCUUACAAUACGAUGCAUAAAAGUCGAAUCGAAGAAGAACAAGAUAAAGACAUGGAUAAAAUGAGACAAGAUAUUAAUAGUCUUGGGGAACAAGUUUCAAAAAUACUGGAAUUGCUUUCAAUAGGAAAAGGAAAAGUCGUCAUAGAAACAGCACAAUCAAGCAAUCCAAUUCAAGACACCAAUGAUCCCAUUUAUCCCCCAAGAUUUAUGUCACGCCACAUGAACGUUACACAGUCUCAAACUGCUCGACACUAUGUUGCUAUGAAUCCACUUUUUGAUGUUCCACCUCCUGUCCCAGAUAUAGAACAAUUGGAAGCUCAGGCUAAAAUUCAAGACAUAAGGCAAAAUGAGAACACUUCGGCUAAGCAAAAACUAGAUGUUUUGGAAGAAAGAUUGCGAGCAAUUGAAGGGACUGAUGUUUAUGGAAAUAUAGAAGCAACACAGUUGUGCUUAGUGCCAGACUUGAUCAUUCCAGCAAAGUUUAAAGUUCUCGAAUUUGACAAAUAUGAUGGAUCAUCGUGUCCAAGGAGUCAUCUUAUAAGGUAUUGUAGAAAGAUGACAAUGCAUAUUGGUAAUGAUAAAUUGUUGAUCCAUUGCUUUCAGGACAGUUUGACUGGUCCAGCUACUCGAUGGUAUAUUCAAUUAGAUAAUACACACAUUCAUGUUUGGAAGGAUUUAGCUGAUGCAUUUCUAAAGCAAUAUAAACAUAAUAUUGAUAUGGCUCCAGAUCGUUUAGACUUGCAACGUAUGAAGAAGAAGAAUUCAAAAAACUUUAAAGAAUAUGCUCAACGAUGGAGAGAUAUGGUCGCGGAGGUUCAACCACCAUUAACAGACAAAGAAAUGACGUCUAUGUAUAUGAAUACUUUGCGGGCUCCAUUCUAUGAUCGAAUGAUUGGUAAUGCUACAACCAAUUUUUGUGACAUUAUUGUUAUUGGUGAAAGAAUUGAAUAUGCGAUAAAGCACGGGAGAUUAGCAGAGGCUUCAGCUGAGUAUGAGGGAUUAAAGAAAGGAACAACAUCUAAGAAGAAAGAAGAUAAGGUUCAUGCAUUUGGUUUUCCUAAUUUAGGGAACCACAAAUCAACUUUUGGCCAAAGAAAACAUGACCAAAGUUUUCCUUCAUAUAUAAGCAAUGUUUCUCAUGUCCCACAUAACAACUAUGUACCAACUCACUCUUUCUCUAGAGCCCAAAAGCCUAUUAAUUCAAACUCUUCUCAACCAUUUGUACAAGGUCAAAGUAGCGAGACCAACUCAGAUACAUGACAAUUUGAUCCAAUUUCCAUGACAUAUACAGAACUUUUACCUCAUCUAAUUCAAAAUCGACAGUUAGCUCCUAUCCCAAUGAAUCCUAUACAAUCUCCUUAUCCAAAAUGAUAUGAUUCAAAUGCUCGAUGUGAUUAUUAUGCCGAAGGAGCAGGACACUCAAUUGAAAAUUGUUUGGCUUUAAAAAGGAAUGUGCAAUCUUUGAUUAAUGAUGGAUGGUUAAGCUUCAAAAAAGUUGGUGAGAAGCCGGAUGUCAACAACAAUCCACUGCCUAAUCAUGAAAAUCCAAAAGUGAACAUUGUAGAUUGCUUUGUUUCAAAAGUGCAAAAAUGAAGGAGAAACAGUUUAUGCAUGUCCACCUGAUUUCGAGCUUAAUACUUGGGAUGUUGUAGAUAUACCUACAUUUUCAAAAGAAUUUCAAGAGUAAUGAUUAAGCUUUUAUUUGUCAAAUUCCUUUUAUUUUAUAGUGGCUCUACACAAGGCCACAAUGUUUUAUUUGCUUUACAAUAUGAAUGUACUGUUUUAUUUGUUAUUUAAUGAAAUCUUCGCAUUUUCCUUUCGUUCUUUCCAACUUCUUCUCUCUGCUUUCUUUCUUGCAUCUUGCAAAUUAAACACAAAAGUCCAAACUUUUUCAUAGACAACAUUCAUAAGAACGAAGAUGUUAGUAAUUCCAGUUCUACCCUUGAUACCUUAAUAUACACUAUGGAAUCUGACAAAGAGAGUGACGAUGAAAAUGCUGGGAGAAUAUCCUCAGAACUGUUAAGAUUAGUAGAAGAAGAAGAUAAGGUCUUAGGUCCUCACCAAGAGCUAGUUGAAGUAAUCAAUUUGGGUUCUCAGGAGGAAUUAAAAGAGGUAAAAAUUGGCACAUCAAUGACCAGUGAAACUCGAAAAAAAAUCAAUUUGUUACGUGAGUACUCAGAUAUUUUGCUUGGAGUUAUCAGGAUAUGCCGGGGUUAAAUACGGAUAUUGUAGUACAUCGUGUUCCUUUGAAGCCAGAAUGCAACCUAGUAAGACAAAAGCUACGUAAAAUGAAGCUUGAUAUAUUGUUUAAAAUAAAAUGGGAAGUACUUAAACAAUUCGAAACAGUGUUCCUCACAGUCUCCAAAUAUCCUGAACGAGUGGAAAACAUUGUUCCAGUAUCCAAAAAGCAAACAAAAAGACAGAAAAGUGAGAAUGUGUAUGGAUAGAGAUUUAAAUCGAGCUUGUCCAAAGACAACUUCCAUUUACCUCAUAUCGACAUGUUGGUGGAUAACACUGCAGGAUACUCAACUUUCUCCUUCAUGGAUGGUUUUUCAGAAUAUAAUCAAAUUAAAAUGACUGAAGAAGAUAAAAAAAAAAAAACAACAUUCAUUACCUGUUGGAGAACAUUCUGCUACAAAGUAAUGCCUUUUGGUUCAAAAAAAUGCUGGGGCAAAUAUCAGUGAGCAAUGGUUACACUUUUUCAUGAUAUGAUGCAUAAGGAAAUAGAGGUGUAUGUUGAUGAUAUGAUUGCAAAAUCCAAAGCAAAUGAAGAUCAUACAACUAUACUCCAAAAAUUAUUUAAUUGGUUGAGAAAGUAUCAAUUGAAAUUAAAUCCAUCCAAAUGUACAUUUGGGGCAACCUCGGGAAAACUGUUCGGAUUCAUUGUCGGUGAAGAAGGGAUCAAAGUAGACCCAGAUAAAGUGAAGUCUAUCAUGGACAUGCCAUCCCCUGAAACAGAAAAAGAAGUUCGAGAUUUUCUUGAAAGACUAAAUUACAUAUCCAGAUUUAUCUCGCAUUUAACUUCAACCUGCGAACCAAUCUUCAAGCUUUUACGUAAAAACAAUCCAAGAAAAUAGAAUGAGGAUUGUGAAGAAGCUUUCAACAAAAUUAAGCAGUAUUUGCAGAGCCCACCUGUAUUAUAAUAAGCCAUGGUAUUUUGAUAUCAAGCAAUACAUAAAUUGUAGAGAAAUAUGGAGCUUCAGAGAAUGACAAGCGCACAAUAAGAAGGUUGGCCAUGAACUUUUUCUUAAGUGGUAAAGUUCUUUAUAAAAGAAACCAUGAUAUGGUACUCCUUCGAUGUGUUGAUGUGGAAGAAGCAAAACAAAUUAUGACAGAAAUUCAUGAAGGAAUAUGUGGAACACAUGCGAACGGACAUAUUAUGCCUAGACAAAUACUUAGAUCUGGUUAUUAUUGGACAACGAUGGAAUCAGACUGUAUAAAAUAUGCAAGAGAAUGUAAAAAGUGUCAAAUUUAUAUGGAUAAGAUUCAUGCAGCAGCAUCUCCAUUGCAUGUCUUGUCAGCACCAUGGUCGUUUUCUUUAUGGGGAAUGGAUGUUAUUGGACCUAUUGAUCCUAAAGCCUCAAAUGAUCAACAUUUUAUUCUUGUGGCGAUUGAUUACUUCACUAAAUGAUUAGAGGCAACAUCUUACUGCAAUGUUACAAAAGGAGUGGUGCUCAAGUUUAUCAAAAAAGAGUUGAUCUGUCGUUAUGGUCUACCAGAGGGUAUUAUUACAGAUAAUACCAAGAACCUUAAUAACAAAUGAUGGACGAACUUUGUGAGAAAUUCAAGAUCAAUCACAGAAAUUCGACUCCAUAUCACCCCAAGAUGAAUGUGGCAGUUGAGGCAGUCAACAAAAAUAUUAAAAGAGUUAUUGAGAAGAUGACAACAACAUACAAAGAUUGACAUGAAAUUUUACCAUUUACACUGCAUGGAUAUCAUACAUCAGUUCGUACUUCAACAGGGGCAACACCAUUUUAUUUGGUUUAUGGUAUAAAAGUUGUCCUACCUUUAGAACUUAAGAUACCUUCAUUGAGAGUUAUCAUGGAAGCUAAGUUAUAUGAAGUUGAAUGUCGUUAUGAGCAGUUGAAUUU
rnacentral:lncRNA from 1 species